rnacentral:lncRNA from 1 species
UUAGUACCAGUGAAAGUGUUACCAAUAACAUCAGUUGUGACAACGGUCCCAUUAUAAAGAGUGUCUUUUUGAGUGAAUACGAAGGGAACAUCACACAUGCCAUGGCUCAUCAUUAGAUACACCGUCACCUUAGUCAUCGGUUUCACAUAAACUUGGUGGUUAACUUCCAUCAUGGUGGCCGUCGUAGUGGUCUCUCCCCACUCGAUUCCUGUUUCGUAUUCGGAAGAUAUUUCGACACCCGUUUCGCUGAUGAAUGGAACCCUGACUUGGAAGGAGACUUUGGCUUCAAGACCAAAGAGUAAAAUGAGCUAGCCAAGUACUGGUGCUGGUCUCUGUAUAAGAAAGUUUCACAUCGAAUGUGUUGGCUUGAUUGGUCCUGUUGGUGGCGGAAUUCUUGGCCACAAGAACGACCUGUUCGUUAUAGACCCGAGCAUUUUCGGUGUCGUAUCGGAAAUUAUAAAUCGUCCUUGACAACACAGGCUCUUGAACACGUAGGUAGGCUUCUCCAGUAGUAGAAUGGACGGCUGCAUUAAGGCAACUGGUCUUUCCCUCGUCUGUGAGGCGCUUGCAGAACAUUUUGUUGCCUAAGUUGAGCAGAGCUAUGGUCUUGUUAUCGACUUUGAAUGCACGAAACAGAGUGUCCUUAUCGGUGCCUUCAGUGUCAUCAGAAUCCGCCCAAAUCCAAUUCGGGCUACGUCUCCAGAACUUAUCGGAAGAAACCGGCUUGAACCGGAUGUCUCCAUUCUUCAUAUAAAAAACCUCCAUUGGCACAGAUCCAGCACCAACAUCCCCACUCGAGAAUUCUAAAUAUGGGUGACCCUCGAUCUCGGUAAGACAAAGGAACAUAUCAUUGCUUCCUUCGAAAGCAACGUACCGAGGCAGAAUCACCAACGACUCCCAAUCAAUAACUUCGAAGAUAUCAUACUGAUUAGCUGCAACAUGACUGUUGUUUGCCAACACGCCACGACUGAGUUCCGAUGUAGCCAACGGCCAUAAGCAUAAAUAGCAACCAGAUUGAACAUGGACAAAUCGAUAAUUUUUGUAUACGGGGUCUUCCAAGAUAGGCUUGAACAAUGUGCACGACUUCUUGGACUGGUCUUCUUCCGGUUUCUUGGCGGUUAUAGUAAUCCAAUACUCUUCCAUUGGGUUUCCGGUGAUGGAAGAAUUACGAGUUCGCUCCAAGUAUUUGUUGUUGGUACAGCUCCUUAUGUGCACCAGCCCAUCUUUAUCAAUCUCCACUUCGAAUUUUGCAUUUGCGCUCACGACCGUUGGUUCGGUGAACUCGGCGUACCCAUUGUAGUUUCCGUUGUCGUGCUUGUAGCCAAGGUAUGUUUCGGCAUCGGGGGAUUUGAGCACGAUGAACCUUGGCAAUGACAUUUUGAAUAACAAAGUUAACUCUCUCAAUCUAGUGCGUAUGCUUUGGUUUACAUUAAACGUCAAGGGCUUUGCUUUUUAUAGAUAAAACUUGUUGGUCUUUCAUUUUGGUAAUAAUGCAUCCGAAUCUAUUCCCCACUGACCACCUUUUUUUAAGUCCAUUACAACUCAUUAAUUAUUAUUUUAAUUUUUGUCUUUUCUAAGACAUGUUUUUAUUAAAUUCACAUUUUUAAGUAAUAAUUUUGCAUAUGAUAAAUGUUUAGUAAAAAAUAAUUUAAUUUAAUUAAAAAAUAAUCGAAUCUUUAUGCAUUAAAAAUGUCCAAUCAAUUCAGCAAGGAAGACUAAUUGAAGUUUUAUUGCAUUUCUAAAAGUAAAUAAAAAAAAUUCUAAAAUAGGGACUAAAUUCCUAGAAUUAAAAAUAUAGAGAUUAAAUUUUAAAUUUGAAAAGAGUAGAGACUUAUUGUAUAACAUCUCGCCCGAUGAAGCCCUAGUACUCGAGUGUUAUUUUGGAAGUAAGAAUUUCGGAAGGAAGAGUUUCGAAUAGGUUUAGAGUAAGUUAGGUGUUGGAUUUACUUUAGAAGUUGGAGUUUAUGGGUAUGCCCCUGGGUGAAGCCCUUGUUAGGCGAACAAGUCAGAAGGAAGUAGAGUAGUGCGGUUCUAUUCGCCCAAACGAUGCUUUUGUCGGAAAGAUUGGGCAAACAAUUAACAUUGGAGCAUUGAGUGAAGACGUCUCAGAAAGUGAGAAAUUUCUAAGAGAGGAACUUAUUAAAGUGUUAAGGAAUAUUUGAGUAAUAGGGAUAAUGUCAAAAGGCAUUGUGUGAUCGAGUUUGGCUAGAAAUGGUGUUGGUUAUGUUCUAACAAGAUUGUUAGGAACGAACGAUGGACUUGACCCGGGAAUGUUCAUUUAUACGCAUAAUGGUAGAUUGUGGAACACAUUUCCUUACAGUUGUAAACCACUCAUAUGGCAGAUAGAAUAGAAUUGUGACAUGUGAUGUGUCGUAAACUAACUAAAAAUUUGACUAAGGCAAGUGCACCUAUCAAUUAAUAGUAUAGCUAUGGUGAGUAAAUAUAUCGUUCUAUAAGGCCUAAAAGUACUAGUAAUUACUGUCUUUCUAUUAUUUAAUCGAUAAAUUGGAGUGAUUGAUUAAAAACUAAGAUUAACUAAUUAAAUAAACUAAAGAAUGCAAUAAAUAAUAAAUGAGAAAAAUAAUUGAGUAAACAACGAAGAAGAAAAACAAUACCCAGGAAAGAAUUCACCUAGAUUUCAUCUGUCAUUAUCAAUCUAAAUUACGCAAUUUCUUCACUUAGUAUCUUGAUUCGUAGAAAUUCUUAAAUUAUGCUAAUAUCUCUUUUGAGAGUAAGAGCAACUGACUCUAAGUUGAUUAAUUGAAAUUUCUUUCUAAUUAAAACUUCUAUUGUCGCAUUAACUCGACCUAUGCAUCCCCAUAUUAGAUUUGACUCUAAUUCAGUAGAUUUAUGUUGUCCUAUUUAUAGGAUUGUAUGCAACUCUACUUAAUUAUACUAGAUCUACUCUUAAACAGGAUCUAUUCCUCCUCUGAUUUAAGCACAUCAAAUAUGGAUCAACAGUCUAGAAAUAUUAAACCAAGAAUUAAGCAUACAUAAUUGAGAAUAAGAUCUAAGUAUUUAUUGUGUAAAAUAAAAAAUCAAAAGACAGAAUUUAUCAUAGGAUUCAUCAUCCCUAGGUAUUUAGAAAAUUAGUUCAUGCUUGCAAAUAAAAAUAUCUCAAAGACAUUAUAAACAAAAGAAAUAAAGAAACUCAUGAUAAUCUCCAAAGAAAUCAAAUAGGAACCUUCAAUCUUGACGAAAAUCUAUUUCAGAAUUGGCUUCAAUGGUGGUUUUUGAGUUGUUUUCUUGAGUAUUUUAUGAAGCUCACUCAUAUCUUCUUAUUUUUGUCAUAUAUAUGUUUUAGAAUACCCAAAAAACCUAAAAAAUCGUGUUUUUCCACUGUUUAGGGUGCAAUCCCGUGUAAACGACAUGACCUGCCACAUGGCUGUGUAACAGCCUAUGUGUGACAACCCGAAUUAGGGCCUAAUCGGAAUAGUGGUUUCGUGACCACAAAUCUAAUAUAGAAAUAAUUUUUUUAUAAUUAUUUUGAGGUUUAUGAUAUGAUUUCAUGAUUGAGUGAAAAUUUCGUGAUGAAAUUCUAUGCAUUAAGUGCUUAAGUUGAGAUUAGGGACUAAAUUGAAUACUUUGCAAAACUUGUGUUCUAGAAGUUUUUAGUAUGAAAUUGCUUUGGAAUAUUAAUUAGGAGGUCUUAAAUAGAAAUUUGACCAAUUUCUAAGUUUAUGGACAAAAAUUGGACAUGGAUGGAAUUUUGAGAAAGUUUAGUAGUAAGGGCAUUUUGGUCAUUUGUAUAUUAAAUGAAAUAAAAUGGGAAAAAUAACACAAAAUUGGUCAUCUUCUCAAUUAGUUGCUGCCGAAUUUUGCUCUCCUCCAUAGCUAGGGUUUCUUCAAUUUUCAAGAUUCAUAGUAAGUGAUUUCAAGCCCCGUUUUUAAUGAUUUUUAUGUUUUUGAAAUCCCGGUAGCUCAAUUUAGCUUAUGUUAGCAAUAAUUCAACCUAAGGUUCAUAUUUGGAAAAAUACCCAUAGGUGAAAUUUGUGUAUUUUGGUGUUUUAUGAUAGAAUAUGAGGUUUUAAAUUAUGUUAAACAACUUGUGCUACUCGGUUUUGAGUGAAAACGAGUAAAAGGGCUUAAUCGGUAAAAAUACCUAAUGUUCAUAAGUACAUGUUAGGGUGAGAAUUUGAUGUUUUUAUAGAAGAGAAAAAUGUUUAGCAUGUCAUAAAACAUAAAAAUAAGGGCUGAAAUUAAAUUUCCGAGCCUAGGGGUAAAAUCAUAAUUUUGUAAAAGUUAGGGGGCAAAAACGUAAUUUUUCCAUAAUGUGAUUUUUGGAUUGAAAUAAAUAGUAUGAGUGUUAAAUGAGCUAAAUGUGUUGUUAUAGAUCAAGAAAGACGUGGAAUUGAUCGUGAUUGGGGAAAAGAAAAGCUUUCGGACUAAAUCAUAACAUUUCUAAAGUUUGCACCGAGGUAAGUUCGUACAUGAAUAAUUUAUCGAUUUUUUAUGUUAUUUUAUGUUGUUAUCAUAUGAAUUGGUGACUGUCCAUAGAAUGAUUAAAUGAUGGAAACUUGCAAAUUUAAUUAGAUUAUGAAUAAGUGUUAACGGUGAAAAAGGAAAGAUUUUUCGGUUGAACCUUCGGAACAGGAACAAUACGAAUGACCCAUUGUGAAUACACGUGCGUAGUACUAAGUGCAGGCUACUACGUGUACCAUACUGUUAAGUCGCAUGUGUAGUACUAAGUGCAGGCUACUAUGCGUACUCAAUGACUUCAAUCACGUGUGUAGUACUAAGUGCAGGCUACUAUGUGUAUCAGAUGGUGAGGUCACGUGUGUAACUAAGUGCAGGCUACUAUGCGUCUCAGAUAUCUUCGGCUAUAAGUGUGGAAAGGGGAAAUAUGUGUAAACAAUGGUAUAUUUGUUAUUUUUCCGUUGAGUUCAACAGGGAAAAUCGAUAAAGUGGUAAUAUGUGAAAGUUAUUAUAAGGUGGAUAUGUGCAAAUUUAUGUUUAUGAAAAGUUAGGAGCUAUGUGCUCGAUAAUUGAGUGAAUUCUGGUAUAACAAAAAAGGACUAGGUGAAAUUAUGCAAGAGUGAAUGUUAGAAAUAAAACAGUGUUGGACAGCAGCAGUUACGUGAUUUUAAAAAUUUACCAAAAAUCGUGGAAGUUGAAUAAAAAUGAGAAUGAUAUAUGAAAAUAAAGCUUAAUGAGUCUAUUUUCACAUAAAAGAAACGGGGAGCAAAAGAAUUCUAUAUUGUGUGAUAUUUGAAUUCUUGUGAAACAGGGUCUGAAUGAAUUUGAGAUCCCAUGUUCUGACUUUAGGAAUUCACCAUAAAUUGUAAAAAAAUUAUUAAGAGUCAUAAUUUACAUGCAUGGAUUCCUUAUUGAGUCUAUUUUAAAGGGAAAUAAAUGGUAUGGUCGUUGGAAUUCUGUACAGGGAGAAAUUUGGUUCGUAGUGCACAGGGGUCAGAGUAGUUGUACCCUGAAACAUGGGAGACUUUAACUAAUAAACUGUACUAAUUGACCCGACCAAAAAUUUUAGAAAAAAAAUUAGUAAGUAGACAUAUGAAUCUAGUUUCAGGGAAAAUUUAUGGAAUUAGAUUUCGAGUUUUUUAGCUCGAGAUAUGAUUUUUUUAAACCGGGACUCCAGAAAAUAGCCUGUCCUGAAUAUGUGAUUAUAUACUAGUAUGAUUGUUUUACUUUGAUAAAUUGAAUAUCAAUUUCGUACUUACUUACUAAACUAUAUGCUUACCUUCUUUUCUUUUUCUUGUCUUAUAUAAUUACUAAGUCAGCUCGAGAUUUGGAGAUCGUUGGAGACCCAUCCACGCUAUCAAUACUUUUUGGUAUUUUGUAAACACUAUUUUGGAAUUAUGGCAUGUAUAGAGGGUUGAAUCAUUUUGUUAUGUGUCAUAAUUAAUUUGUUUUAAAAUAUCACUUUUCAAAAUUUGGUAAUUUACUUGUACUUAUGUAUAUCUGUUAAUGUUAUCUAUUUAUGUUCAAGCUAGAGGAAUUAAUUACGUAAGAUCAGGUAAAUGGGUAAAUUCAUGUUUUCGUGAUCUGUAAUAUUUCGUACCAUGUUCCGGCUUAGAACAUGGGUAAGGGGUGUUACACUGUGUGGGUCACAUGGCCGUGUGGAAGGGGUCAGCCCGUGUGACUCCUGUAACUUGCUCCGAUUUUGGGGUUUUCGCUCAGUUCUCGCUCCUUUUGCUCCCAAAUGCUCUCCUAAAUAUAAAAAUAUGAAUUUAAAGGAUUAGGAGCAUAAAACUCACCAUUUAAAUCGAAUAAGCAUCCAAAAUCGCAUUAAGAAAGGAAUUAAAACAUGGUAAUUUUAACACUUAUCAAAUAUCCCAACAUUUAAGCAUUCGCUUGUCCUCAAGCAAAAUCCUCAACCCACAAUCAAGUUAACCUCCCACAAUUUAUUGUUUUUACCAAUAAUGUUUUAGAUUUUAGGACAACCCAUAGAUAAUCAUGCAUUGAAAAUUCAAUCAAAAUGACACUAGAGAACACAAGCAAUCGAAGCAGUGAUUUUUAAAGCAUAAAAACAUAGGCACCUCCCUUAUCUCAAUGUUUGUUUGUUUUUUUUUUUAGAAAACAUAGACUAAGAUAUGUUCAAUGUUUGUUUUUCUUUUUAUCAUUUGGAUCACAUUAUAAUGAAAUCUUAUUGCAAUUAUCAUUUGGAUCACCCAAUGAUGAAAUAUUAAACAUUAUAAGAAACAAAAGAUUGAGUUAAAUUUUCUUUUUCGAUUUGGUUGAAACUUUUUUUUAACAUAAUUUUUACUCUAUUUAUUUGAUGAAAAUUUACAAUAUGAAUUCCAUUUGCUAGGAAUAAUAAAUUCAAUUGCUUUUUAAAAAAAAUUAAAUUAUUAACCCAAGAUUUAAUAGUACUAACUUGACUCUUUUAAUGUCUAAGUUAAUCUUCUUUCCCAUUAGUUAUAUUUCCAUGUUAGUCGCAAAUUAACUCAUUUUUCAACUUUAAAAAAGUUAAUCUUAACUUAUUUAGUUUAAAUCUCAACUAUAAUUUUUCAUUCAAGAUAAAUUAAGGCUAUCAAAUUAUUAGAAUUAAGUGACCCAAAUUCUUAUUUAAAUAAAAUACGAUGGAAAAUAAAAUAAAAGUAAAAUCCAUAUAGAACUAGACUUCUUUUAUUUUAUUUUAGAAUAAGGUUUUUUAAACCUUAUUAAACUCCAUCUAUUUUAUAUUGAUUAGGAUAAGGUGUUUCAAUCCUACUAGAAUAUGGCUUUACAAGCCUAUAAAUAGACAUAGUCUAUUCCUCUUGUAUUGAUUCAAUUUUUUGACAUGGUGAAUUUUCUUCUCCUCUGCCCGUGGUUUUUUUCCCGUAAGGGUUUUCACGUAAAAUUUGUGUGUUCUUUAUUUUUAUUUUUUAUUUUAUUUUUUCACAAAUUGGUAUCAGAGCUUCCGGGUUAUUCAUCUCGAUCACGGUAAUGGCGUCUUUGAAGUAUGAAAUUCCGCUAUUGGAUCGCAACACCAGAUUUGUGUUGUGGCAAAUUAAGAUGCAAGUAGUUCUUGCACAGAUGGAUCUGGAGGAUGCCCUGCUAGGGAUAGAUAAGAUACCUUCGACAUUAACAGAUGAAGAGAAGAAGCGUAAGGAUCGAAAGGCGUUAACACAAUUACAUUUGCAUUUGUCCAACGAAAUUUUGUAGGAUGUGAUGAAAGAGAAGACUAUCGCUGCAUUAUGGAAGAGGCUAGAACAAACAUGUAUGUCGAAAACUUAACAGUGUUUAAAGAAAUUCUCUAAACUUGGAGGCCAUGGAGGUUCAGUAUGAUAAGGAAGAUCUAGGGUUGAUUCUACUUUGUUCGUUGCCCCCGUCUUAUUCAACCUUUAGAGACACGAUUUUAUAUAGCCGCGAGUCUCUCACAGUUGAUGAGGUUUAUGAUUCUUUAACCUCGUAUGAUAAGAUGAAGCAUCUUGUGGUUAAAUUAGACUCUCAGGGAGAGGGUCUCAUUGUUCGUGGGAGACAAGAUCAGAAUGCUGAUGAUGAUCGUGGUAGGACACAGGAACGGAAUCCUCGUGGUAAAUCUAAAGGUAGAUCGAAGUCUUCAAACAGAGGUAAAACUUGUAACUUCUGCAAGAAGAAAGGGCACAUUAAAUCUGAGUGCUAUAAGCUACAAAAUAAGAUUAAAAAGGAGGCUGCGAAUCAAAAGCGAAAACAACCAGAAAAUUCCGGUGAAGCUGAUGUUGUAGAAGAUUACAGCGAUGGUGAACUUCUAGUUGCUUCUAUCAAUGAUUCUAAAGUAAGCGAGGAAUGGAUACUUGAUUCAGGCUGCACCUUCCACAUGAGUCACAAUCAGGAUUGGUUUACAACUUACGAAACAGUAUCUGAAGGUGUUGUUUUGAUGGGAAAUAAUACUUCGUGUAAAAUCGUAGGUGUUGGAACAGUUAAAGUUAAGAUGUUUGAUGGAGUUGUCAGAACACUUAGUGAGGUACGACAUGUUCCAGAAUUGAAGAGAAAUUUAAUUUCGUUGAGUAGCUUGAUUCAAAAGGGUACAGAUAUACAACUAAAAGUGGGAUUUUAAAGAUUUCCAAAGGUUCCCUUGUUGUGAUGAAAGGGCAAAGAAAAACUUCCAAGUUAUAUAUUUUGCAGGGUUCUACUGUUACUGGUGAUGCAGCUGUCGCUUCCUCUUCCUUAUCAGAUGAUGAUAUUACUAAACUUUGGCAUAUGCGCCUCGGGCAUAUGAGUGAGAAUAACAUGGUAGAAUUGAGCAAAAGAGGACUUCUUGAUGGGCAAGGAAUUUGUAAACUAAAUUUCUGUGAGCACUGUGUUUUUGGGAAGCAAAAGAGAGUUCGAUUCACUAGAGGAAUCCAUAACACGAAGGGAAUAUUGGAGUAUAUUCAUUCUGAUCUGUGGGGGCCAUCCAGAGUGCCUUCGAGAGGUGGAGCUAAUUAUAUGCUAACCUUUAUUGAUGAUUUUUUUAGAAAAGUUUGGGCGUUCUUCCUAAAACAGAAAAGCGAUGUGUUUUCCGCAUUUAAGUCUUGGAAAAUUAUGAUUGAAAAACAGACGGGAAAAUAGAUAAAAUACCUCCGCACAGAUAAUGGCUUAGAGUUCUAUUCUGAUGAGUUUAAUAGAUUGUACAAGUCAGACGGGAUCAUGAGACACUUGACAGUUCGUCAUACUCCACAGCAAAACGGCGUUGCAGAACGAAUGAACAGAACGAUCAUGGAGAAGGUUCGAUGUAUGUUGUCAAAUGCCAACUUAUCGAAGUCAUUUUAGGCAGAAGCAGCCUCUACUACAUGUUUUUUAAUCAACCGAUCUCCAUUCGUUGACAUUGAGAAAAAGACUCCACAAGAGGUAUGGUCUGGUAAUCCUGCUAAUUAUUAUAAUUUAAAGAUUUUUGGGUGUCCUGCGUAUACUCAUGUUGAUAAUGGAAAAUUGGAACCGAGAUCCAUUAAAUUCGUUUUUCUUGGUUAUAAAGCUGGUGUAAAAGGGUAUAAGUUAUGGUGUCCUGAAAAUAGAAAAGUUGUGAUUAACAGAGAUGUUGUUUUUGAUGAAACUGCUAUGCUACCUAACUUAUCUCUUAAAGGCUCUUCCAAUAAAGAAAAUCAAAAGCAGGUGGAGCAUCAGAUUAAUACAGAGUCAACUCCUCAAGCCAGAACAAAAAUUGAGAAUAGAGUUGCUUCUUCACCACAAUACUCUAUCGCCAAAAGCAGAACUAGAAGAGAAAUUAAACCUCCAAAGAAGUAUGUCGAGGCUAAUCUAGUUGCUUAUGCUUUAAAUGUGGCUGAAGAUAUAGAUGCGAAUCAAGAGCCAUCUAAUUAUUCUAAGGCAGUUAGCUGUGAAGACUCAGAAAAGUGGAUGUUUGCUAUGCAAGAAGAGAUGGAAUCACUCCACAAAAAUAGAAAUGGGACCUUGUGAAACUUCCUAAAGGUAAAAAGGCUGUUCGUUGUAAAUGGGUGUUUAAAAGGAAAGAAGGGACUCUAGGAGUUGAAGAACCCAGAUAUAAAGCAAGGUUUGUUACAAAGGGUUACAGUCAAAUUCCAGGAGUGGACUUCACAGAUGUGUUCUCUCCAGUUGUUAAGCAUAGUUCUAUUCGAGCUUUGCUUGGUAUUGUGGCCAUGCAUGAUUUGGAGCUUGAGCAGAUAGAUGUAAAAACUGCAUUUCUGCAUGGAGAACUUGAGAACGAUAUUUACAUGCAACAACCAGAGGGUUUUAUAGUCUCAGAAAAAAAGGACUAUGUUUGCUUGCUGAAAAAGUCCCUUUACGGUUUGAAACAGUCACCAAGACAGUGGUACAAGAGGUUUGCUUCCUUUAUGACUUCUCAUGAUUUCAAAAGAAGUAGUUUUGACAGUUGUACCUAAGUCAGAAGGGGUACAUUGAGAAAGUUCUUUGCAGGUUCAAUAUGCAGAGUGCUAAGCCUGUUAGUACUCCUUUAGCGGCCCAUUUCAGACUUUCAUCAGUUUUGUCUCCACAAUCAGAUGAUGAGAUUGAGUACAUGUCACAUGUUCCAUACUCUAGUGCAGUGGGAUCUCUCAUGUAUGCUAUGGUUUGUUCACGUCCAGAUUUAUCAUAUGCAGUCAGUGCAGUUAGCAGAUACAUGGCGAAUCUUGGUAAAGAACACUGAAAAGCAGUUCAGUGGAUUCUAAGAUACUUACGAGGUACUACUGAUGUUUGCUUACAGUUUGGAAGAACUAAAGAUGGAGUCAUAAGGUAUGUUAAUGAUGAUUUCGCUGGAGACCUUGAUAAAAGAAGAUCUCUCAGAGGUUAUGUCUUUACAAUCGGAGGUUGUGCAAUCAGUUGGAAAGCCACUUUGCAGUCUACAGUCGCUUUGUCUACUACUGAAACUGAGUACAUGGUGAUUACUAAGGCUUGUAAAGAAGCUAUUUGGUUGAAGGGACUCUUUAGUGAACUCAAUGAAGACCUUCAAAUCAGCACAGUAUUUUGUGACAGUCAGAGUGCCAUCUUUCUUACAAAAGAUCAAAUGUUUCAUGAGAGAACAAAACACAUUGAUGUUCGGUAUCAUUUUGUUCGUGAUAUUAUUGCUCGUGGUGAUAUUGUUGUGAGCAAAAUUAGUACUCAUGAAAAUCCUGCAGAUAUGAUGACUAAGUCACUUCCUAUAACCAAGUUUGAGCAUUGCUUAGACUUGGUUGGUGUUCAUUGUUGAAGUUAAACCCUUAAGGGGUUUUAUGGAAGAGGUGGAGAACUUGUUUAUUAAAAGUUCGCGAUGAAGAACUUGUUCAUUGAGAAUUUGUGUCAAGGUGGAGAUUGUUAGAAUUAAGUGACCCAAAUUCUUAUUUAAAUAAAAUACGAUGGAAAAUAAAAUAAAAAUAAAAUCCAUAUAGAACUAGACUUCUUUUAUUUUAUUUUAGAAUAAGGUUUUUUAAACCUUAUUAAACUCCAUCUAUUUUAUAUUGAUUAGGAUAAGGUGUUUCAAUCCUACUAGAAUAUGGCUUUACAAGCCUAUAAAUAGACAUAGUCUAUACCUCUUGUAUUGAUUCAAUUUUUCGACAUAGUGAAUUUUCUUCUCCUCCACCCGUGGUUUUUUUUCCCGUAAGGAUUUCCACGUAAAAUUUGUGUGUUCUUUAUUUUUAUUUUUUUAUUUUUUAUUUUAUUUUUUCACACAAAUUAAUACAACUUUCACAUUAUAUGUAGGUGGUGAGGAGAAACAGGUGCCUCGUUAAAAAACCACUCUUUAUAUGUAUACGAGUGGAAAUGUAAUUUUUUAUGAUUUCAUUGUGAACGUGGUUUAUAUGUCUCGUACCUAAAAUCACAUGGACUCCUUUGCAGUCCAUCGUAAAUCACAAAUUAAAAAAUACGUCGACACAUGGAAAAACACCUGUUUGUUGCACGUUUAGCGAUAGGAGUUGAAAUCAAUAAAAAUAAAUUUCUUAUUUAAUAAUAUAAAUAUUUAUAGAUAACAAUGAGUAAGAUUAGCUUUACAGGGAUUAGUUAUUGACUUGAAUCCGUCAAUUAUCGCAAGAAAUAAAAUAAAUGUGUUUCCUUUGUGAAAGUCUAUGUAUGAGUGUGUGCAUCUACUAAAUUAAAUGAAUGCGUAGUUUCUUUUAAUUAUACAUUCAAUCCUAUGAUAAAUUGAUCAUAAUUGCACGAUAUUCGAUGAUAAAUUAGUUAUAAUUAUUGACGAACUUUUAAUAAUUAAACUCUUCCAACAUUUUCGAUAAUUAAGAUAAACACCAUUGAUUACUUCCUUUAUCGAUAAAUAAUAGUACAAGAAAUGGCUAAGAUUCAAUUUACCAAUAGCAUGAGACUCAAUUCUUGUCGGCAAAUACACAAACAAGAUUUGUUGAGACAAAAUCAUAUAUCCACAUAAUAAUUAAUUUCAUAUUAAUUUCAUCUUUGGCCCAAAAACAAGCAAAUAGUGGAAUACCACAAAGAGAAAGUGUACCUACAAAAAAAACCUAAUUUGUGUAACGGGCACGUGCUUUUUUAAACUACCCAUAAAAAUUAUAUUCUAGCUUUUCUAUGGAGAAUAUCCACCAAUAACUUCCAUGGAAUGAAUAAUUGGUCCGAAUACUAAAAACAACAAUGCUUUCGAAUAAGCAUGGGUAAUCAAAUGAAAUAAAGCGGCUUGAUAAGACCCCAUAUACCUAGAGCUAACAUCAUAUAACCCAGUUGGGAUAUUGCAGAAUAGGCUAAACCCCUCUCAAUAUUUUUUUGAGCAAGGGCUAAAGUAACCCCUAACAAUACCGUUAUUAUACUUAUAAAAGAUUUUAGAUUCAUUAUGUAAGGUACAAUUAUAAAAAGAGGAAGAAUACGGGCUACAAGAAAAAUUUCCGCAGUUACCAUAGUGGCAGCAUGUAUAAGAGCCAAAAUAGGAGUAGACCCCUCCAUGGCAUCAAGUAACCAUACAUGAAGAGGAAAUUGCGCAGAUUUAGCAACUGUGCCGGCAAAUAAUAAAGAGACAUAUAGAGUAACAAAUAAAAAAUGGACCUCAUUAUUAUAAAUCAAAUUAUUAAAUAUUUUGAACAAAUCAUGAAAUUCGAAACUUUUCAUUAUCCAAUAAAAACAUAAAAUUCCUAAUAAUAAACCAAAAUUGCCUAUCUUAUUAGUUACAAACGUUUUUUCACAAAAGCGUUUGCCGUAGCGGGUCAUAUAAUCCAAAAUCCUAUUAAGAGAUAAGAACACAUUCCAACUAAUUCUCAAAAAAUAUAAAUUUGUAUAAAAUUCGAAUGACAUACACAACCCUACUAUUCGCCACAAGUAUUAGAAUCAAUUGAACAAUUAAAUUCUAAUUGAGAAGAAAUGUAUGUCAUCUAAUAUGAGUUCUAUAUUCAAAGAAACAGGCUUGAUUCGAAGCAUGCGGUCAUUGUUGACGAAAAGCUCCAUUGUCAUAUUUGGGUCGCUAAUAUUACUUGAUGAAAACUGCAAAAAGGGGUGACGCUCCAUGUGAUGAAGACGAAGAUAGUGAGUGUUAUCUCCUUUGAAUGCCACAUACCUUGGCAAAUCCAACAGCGACUCCCUGUUGAUGAUUGUGAAGAUGUCAUCGGAACUAGUGUUGUUGUUGGCCAACACGCAACCACUGGUACUUAGGCAUAAACGACAUUUUGAGUGGACAUGCAUAAUGCGGACAGUAUCUGUAGUUGCAGUGCCCAUCAGUAUAAGCUUGAACAAUGUGCAGGAGUCCCUGGAUUGGUCUUCCUCCGGCUUUUUAGCAGUUGCAGCAAUCCAGUAUUGGCCGUCCUCCGUCGGAUUAUUUCGGACUCCUUCCCAGUAUUUGUUGUUACGACAGCUCCUUAUGUGCACCAAGCCAUGUCCAGCAGCCGCCUCCUCCACCUCAAAUUUUGCAUAUGAACUUGUUGCUUGAGUUUCUGAUGAAAAUUUGAGAUACCCAUCACCCGCUCCAUUUCCAUCGAUAAUGCCCAAAUAUUCCUUGUUGGAUUUCAGCACUAUAAACCUUGGCGCAGCAAAUGACAUUUUGUUCUCUCUCUGUUUUUUUCACUCUUAUGCUUAUGCUUAUUCUUUACAUGAGCUUCGCUACUUAUAAACAGAACUUAAUAGCUAGCCCUGAGUUAAUUUCUAUGAUUCUUAUGCGUUUGAACGCAAAACGAAAAAGGUGGUGGCAGUGGGAAGAGACAAUAAUCAUUCACAAUAUUAUAUUAAAAUUUGUGUAGGAUAAGUUGAAUGAAUCACAUCAAACUGCUUCAUCAAUGGGUAAAAAAACUUGUAAAUAAAUACUGUUAUAUUUAUUUAAAUUAAUUUCAACACGCAUCAUCAUAAUUUAAUUCAAUAAAUUUUCUUAAGAUAUAAUUAAAAUAAUUUUUUAUAUUAUAUUAAUGCAUAAAAUUAUAUAUUUAAAUAAAAAUAUAAAUCAAACUUUAAACUUACCUUAAAAAUUAAAUCUUAAUACCAACUUUCUCUAUUUUAAUAUAUUUCUUUUUAAUUGUACGUGAAUAUUAAUUAAAAUGUUGUAUUUACAAUUAGAUAUUAACUUAGAACUUAUAAGAAAUAUAAAAUUAAUUUGGUCUUAAUGCAUGAUUUAAUUUUAGAACUUUCGUAAGUUCUUAUGAGACUCAAAAAUUGACCAUGAUGCAUAUUUGGGUAAAAAAUGGGGCGUUACAUUAAGUCUCAAGAUCAUUCCAUUGGGCAUUAGACAUCGUAUGAUUGCUAAACUCAACUCCUACAUUGAAUCAAAUCAGAGGCAUGUUGAUAGACUCUAAGAAAAGGCCAAAAUGGUAAAGAAAGUUAUUGACAGGCAGAAGGUUCUGCAUGCCGAUUUCCUGGCUGUCUCGGAGAUAUCUAUUGCUGAGGAGGAGAGAUGAGGAUGCUCUUGAGGGGGAGUUUUUCCGAUGAUAGUAUGUUGAUUUUUUUUUUUUAGAUUUAUUUUGGAUGACUAUAAAUCUUUAAAUGCUGCUUGAUCUUGAUGCUACUAUUGAUGAAGAAAUUUUUUUAAUGGGUGAUUACUGUUAUUGCAUUAUCUUGUUUCUUUAGCUUUCUUCGUUAUAAUUAUUGUUAAUUGAUUAUUGAUGCACAUUCAGCACUAAGCAUUAAUGGUUAAUUUAGUUAAUAUAGUGUAACCUUUAAUCUUAUAUUGUUAGUUAAAAGAUGGUGUAUCGUUGGAAGCACCAAAAAUAACCUAUCCCUAUAAAAUAACGAAAAGAAUAGUAUAAGGGAAGUAGAGUUAAAUCCUCAGGGACUGGAUUUGCACAACUUUUUGUUCCUCAAGAUCCCAAGCACAGUCAUGCCCAAGAAAAACGGCAUACCUAAAGAAAAUAAAAAUAAAAACAGAAUUAAAAAUAUGGACAAAUUGAGAUUGUAUAAGUUGAAAUUGAAAUUGUAAAAAUAAACAGGAUUGAGAGAAGGGAUUCUUCGAUUUGAGGGGUUCCAGCCUUCAGUUAUCUCGAUCCUCCUUGGGUUCAAUCCUAGGCUUUAGGUAGUCCUUCUCAUGACAGAAUAAGCCAGUUAUGGGCCAAAACACGUCCACAAAAUCAUUUAAGACAUUGCCCAAUUAUUUUGUUUGAAAAGAUUUACAGCUCCAAAUAAGACAAAUUAUAUUACCUAUUAUACCUCCUGUCGAUGUGCUAGAGAAAGUGGCUACUUCCUUUGGCACUUCAACAGUCACUUAAAAGCAUUGUAUGCUACUGAUAGGUCACUAGAUGAACAUUUUAUAAGUUGUCAUAAUGGUAUAUAAUAAGGGAGAACUCAGUCAUAGUACUUUAAUGGAAUGACUCCAUAACUAAAUAAUGUUGUAAUUAAUAGACAAAGAGUUUGAUUAGUGCUAAAAGUAACAUAUUUUAACUUCAUUCUUAAUGCAUUUUUGGGUGAUUAGUUGAUGUUAAUUGUGAAUUUUAUGCUCAUAAUCCUUUAAAUUCAUAUUUUGAUGCUUAAUAGAGCACUUGGGAGCAAAAAGAGCGAAAAACGAGCGACAAUUAGAAAACCAGAGCAAGAUACAGGAGCCACACAGGUUGGACCAUUCCACACGGUCAUGUGAUCCACACGGCCAUGUGGUAGGCUAUGUCGAUUUCAUAAUAUUUCACACCGAACUUCGAAAAAAUGUGAUUUAGGUUUUUAGGCAUUCUAAAACGUAUAUAUGACAAAAAUAAAAAGAUAGAGGGGAGCAGUCAUAGAAUAUUGAAGAAGACAACUUGAAAAACACCAUUGAAGCCGACUCUGAAGCAGAUUUCCAUUAAGAUUGAAGAUUCCUAAUUAAUUUCUUAGGAAGUCAUCAUGAGCUUCUUUAGUUCUUUUGGUUAUACUGUCUCUAAGAUGUUUUUAUUUUUGUUAAUCUUUUAGAAAUUAUUUUUAUUAUACUAGUCAUUUUUUAUAAUAAUUAAAAUUUUUUAAAAAUAUAAAUUAUAUAUUCAUGUAAUUACAAAUUGUGCUAUCAAAACAUGACAUAGUGAAUUACAAUGUAAUUAAACUCUAUUAGUCAAACACGUCGAGAGAAUUACAAUUCUUUGUAAUUACUACGGUAUUAAUGACACAUUCACUCAAUUACUCUACUCUGUCCAAAUAGACCCUUUAAUGAACAAUUAAUUGCUCUCAAUACUCUAUAUAAAACCUAUAUAAUUCUAUAUAAGAGUUUCGAGACUUGGAUAACAUACUUGAGAUCAAUCACAAUCCAAUCUCUUGUUAAACAAUAAUGAAAAUAGCAAGAUACAAUAUACUAAUAAGGGCCAAUAUAAAUUGAAUUGUUUGGAGAUAUGUCUUCAAUGUUCUCGAUCCAAUUUGCAGAAUUCAAGAGAUUUGAUAUGUAAGAUCCAAUUUGAUCCAAUUCUUAAGAUGUGUUUCUCCAAAUGGAUUGAUCUUCAUUGAUGGACUUUAAUACUUUCAAAAUAUUAGUAUUUGUACAGGCCCAAAUUUGCCCGGCCCAGACCCAACAAGCCCAAAUCAAAAACAAAACGAAACCAAAUCCCUAAUUAAAGCCCAAACCCUAAACAGGCCCAAAACUAAACCCUAGCCCACUACAAAGCCUAAAUCAGAAACAAAACAAAAAAAAACCUAGCAGCUUGGCGCCGCAGCCUUCAACCGCCGUACAGCCCCCGUACACCGCCACGUACCUGCAAGCAGACAAGAAAACAAUAGCAAAUAGAAACAAAAAACAACGGAAUAGUAAAAAAGAGGGCUUGUAUUUUUUAUUUUGGAUUAUUGUUCGGCUAUAAAGCCAUUCCUUUCAUUUUUGUAAAAGAGGAGAGAAAAAACGAUUAUUGAAUACACAUACAAAGUAAUCAAAGAGAAGAAGUAGAUAUUUCAAGGUGGUUCUUCGAUUCAAACUCUUUUUUUGGGGUUUUAUUAUCAUUUUUUGCUUUUGUAGAUAAAAAUUUUAGUAAAAUACAAAAGAGGAGAAAAUUUACCUACGUUUUGGGGGUUUCAGACUGGUGCCAUGGCGGAGGCGGAGGCGUCAAAUGCCGAUGAACGCCGAAAUCGGCUAAGACCAAGACGCAGUGGGCAUCGUCUCUCUCUCUCCCUCUUAUCCCUUUCUUUUGCCCUUUUCAAUCUGCUGAAAUAUUUAGGACUUAGGGUUUUUUUUUUCUUAUUAAUUGACAACAUGAAAUGGUGUAGUUUAUGGCAUGCAUAGGUAGCCUUGAAACGACACCGUUUCAGCCUAUUCAACCCAAUCCGGCUCUUGGCCUUGGGAUCCGCGCGCUUCUGGUGGAGAGGGGAUAAUUGCGUGAUAAGCCCUCUUCUUUUGCACGGGCAUUCAAUUGUGCAUUGCUGGUUUUACUUAAUUUUAGGAAUCUAGCCUUUUAAUUUGGGUAUGUUUGCACUCUGGUCCGUGUCUCAGUGUUGCGUCUUGGGACUUGGGUUAUUUUUUGUUCUAGUCCCUGUACACUUUCGCGCAUCGCACAUUGGUCCUCAUUUUAUUAUCAGCAGUUUAUUUCAUUUGUAAUUUAUCCUUUUUAUUUUAAUGUGAUUUCCGUUAGGUUUUUUUAGAUUCAUUUCAUGUUUUUUUAUUUCAUUCGUGUUUAUUUAUUUGUAUUAAUCGUAUUAUUUGUAUCCUUUGCUUACUUAUUUAUUGUAAUUUUGGUAAUCGUAUUUUCACAUUUUGUAUACUAUUUUAUAUAAAUGUUUUUUUUAUAUAUAUACACUAUUAUAUUGAUAUAUAUGUACAUACUUUAUAAUAAAGUUAAUUUUAUUUCAUUUCAUGCAUACUAUUAAUCUCAUAUUAUUUUAUACAUAUAAUUCCUUUUAAAUUUAUUCUUAUAUUUUAUUAUAUAAUCCUACAUAAUAUAUCUUUUAAAUUAUUAUUAUGUAAGUAUAUAUAUUUAUUGAUAACUAUAUUUAAUCUAUACACAUUAUUAGAUUCACCAUUUUAUACCUAUAGUCUUCUUUGUACAAUGAGUUUGAGGUUUUUUUAAUCAUGUUAUUUGAAUAUUUAUAUGAUAUUUCUUUAAAUAUUCUAGAUAUAUUUGUACAUGUACAUUUUUAAUUAAAGUUUGUAAUCUAUAAUGUUUAUUAUUUUAAAGUGCUUAAUAUUAUAUAUAUGAGUUGAGCUAUUUAUAAAUUUUUAAUCACCAUUUUGUAGUUCAUUUUUUAUACCAUAUUAUUUAAAAUAUUUAUAUAACACUUGUUCAAAUGUUUCAUGUAUAUUUGUUUAUGUAUAAUAAAUAAUUUAAUCCUAUAUACAUAUUUAGUCCCAUGCUAAUUUAUUUUACAAAUUCUUUUAAAUUUAUCUAUAUAUAUAUUUUUAUGUAUAUGAGUCAUUUUUUUUAGAACAUAUUUUAUUACAUAUUGUUUUGAUUUAAAGUCUCAUAUUUAAAUACUAUUUUUAUAUGUAUAUAUAUUUGUCAACAUUAAAUGGAUACAUCAUCUUCAAAAUGUUUAUGCCCAUUUUUGACUCAAAUUUCCUCUUCCAUAAUCUUUAUUUUAAUAAUUAUUUAUAUGUUUGUAGUUUUGUCCAUAUUGUUUUGCGUAUCAUGUGUGUUUUGUUGUUUUUAUUGUUUUAUAAGUUAUUACAUUAUAUUUUCGAUUGGUGCUUGGUGUUGCUAUCUUAAUCUUCUUUUAUUCAUCUCGGUUUAAGAACUUGUUAGAGCUUUUACUUUGAUUCGUUUCUUUAGUUAUACCUCUAGCAUUCACAAUCUUGAUUGUUAAUGUGUGGAUGUGAGCUUAAUAUUAUUUUACGCAUGUUAAUUUUGCUUUUAUUUGUUUACUCAUUUUUAUACUAUUUUUAUUCAUUAAUAAAUUUUGCUACCCAUGCAUAUUAUUUCAUGUUUAUAACUUCGACUUUCACUCGCAAUUGACUCGUUGAGAUUUUAAACUUAUUAAUCCAAACUAAGUAUUCCGUUUUAUUUCAAGUCGAAUUAGUGCGUUUUAAUCUAGUUUUAUAACUAUUCAUUCAAAAAUUCUUUAAAAAGAAGGCAAUGUUCGAUGUUUGGCAAUUCAGGGAAUCGUGCCCUAUCGUGCUGGGUUGCAAUUUCCCGUUUGUUCAAAAUAAUCGAAUAUCCCUUUAGAAUUCACUCAUGUUCCCUAAAUUCUAAAAUAAGGCAAUGUUCGAUGUUUAGAAAUUCGAGGAAUUGUGCCCUACUGUGUUGGGUUUCGAUUUUUUCGUUGGACUAAAUAAUUGGGCAUCCUUUUGUGAUUUCGACGUAUAAACUUUUGGAAGUCGAAAUUUAUUAUGUUUUCGAGGGUAUAAAGGAUUGUGUCUUAUCGUGCUGGAUGUGAUGCUGUAUGCCUUUGAAACGAGAAAAUUUUGACAAGCAACUUGAACCAUUCAAAUGCUUCAAAAGGAACCACAUCUCAAAACCUCUUUUAGAUCUCAGACAUAAGGACAAUAUUUAAUCAUUUUGGUACCAAUUUUGGGAGUAAUGAGGGUGCUAAUCCUUCCUCAUAUGUAACCGACUCCCGAACCCGUUUUCUCAAAUUUCGUAGACCAAAAUCGUUGUUUUAGUAAACCAAAAUGUUUUAUUAAAAUGACCAAACUCCUUGGUGAUCCAAUCACACCUAAACAAAAAAGGAUUGGUGGCGACUCCAUUUUCGUUUUUUUAAAGUCGAUCCCUGUUUUUUCCAAACUUUUAAAAAUGGUUUCGACAGUAUUGAUUAUAUCUCAAAAUUUUUGUUUUAAAAAUUGCCAGCUUUAAAUAAGGGCAAGUAAGUUGUUUGUGGUAGCGAUUGACCAAAGCAUGUACUUCCAUCAGCCACUUCAAAAAACUUACCUCAACUUAGUUAAAGGUAAAUUCUCAGUUUUGAUUUAUGGGGUUUGAUCAUCGAUGCAUGAUAUCCUAUGAUAAAUUGGUUAUAGUUGUUGACGAACUCCUAACAAUUAAUCUCUUCUUACCUUCUCGAUAACCAAGAUGAAUACCAUUGAUUACUUCCUGUGUCGAUAAAUAGUCCUAUAACAAACGAAUAAGAUUCAAUUUACCAAUAGCAUUAAAAUCUAAAGAGACUCAAUUCUAGUAAACAAACACACAAACAGGGUUCAUUCAAACCAAAUCAUAUGUCCACAUAAUAAUUAAUUUCAUACUUCGACAUACACAAUCAUGCUAUUCGUCAUAAGUACUAGAAUCAAUUGAACAACUAAAUUCUAAUUGAUAAGACAAAUAUGUCAAGCUAUCUAACAUGAGUUCUAUAUUGAUAGAAAUAAAGUUUUCCUAAAAUUCUAGUCCCCAACAACGAUGCUAAAAACUUGAUGAUCAUGAAACUAACUAAAAAGUUGACUAAGGCAAGUGCACCUAUCAAUUAAUAGUAUAACUAUGGUGGGUAAAUAUAUCGUUCCCAAGAGAGUUACAAAUACUAGUAGUUACUGUCUUUCUAUUAUUUAACCGAAUAAUUCGAAUGAUCAAUUGAAAAAUAAAAUUAACUAAUGUAAUUAACUAAUGAAUGCCACAAAAAAUUACGAAAAUAAUUGAAUAACAACAAAGAAAUGAAACAAUACUCAGGUAAGAAUCAGCCUAUAUUUUAUUUGCCACUAUCAAAUCAAAUUACACAAUUUCUUUACUUAGUAGCUUGAUCCGUGGAAAUGCCUAAAUUAUGCAAAUGUCUCUUUCGAGCAUAAGAGCAUCAGACUCUAGGUUGUUUAAUUGAAAUUUCUUUCUAAUUAAAACCCCUAUUAUCACAUUAAGUCGUGCUGUGGAUUCCCCUAUUAGAUUUGACUCUAAUCCGGUAGAUUUAUGUCGUCCUAUUUCUAGGAUUGCAUGCAACUUCACUCAAUUACCCAAGAUCUAAUCUUAAACAAGGUCUAUUCAACUACCGAUUUAAGUACAUUGAACAUGGAUCAAUACUUUAGAAAUAUUAAACCAAGCAUUUAGUACACAUAAUUGAGAAUAAGAAACUAAUUAUUUAUUACGUAAAAUAAAAAUCAAACGACAGAAUCCAUCAUAAGGUUCAUCUCCCCUGGGUAUUUAGAAAAUUAGUUCAUCCUCGAAAAUAGAAACAUACAAGAUACAGUACUAUAACCAAAAGAAAUAAAGAAACUCAUAAUAACUUUCUAAGAAAUUAACUUGGAAUCUUCAAUCUUCACGGAAAUCUGCUUCUAAGUCGAGUUCAAUGGUAUUUUUCGAGUUGUUUUCUUAAAUAUUCUCUGACAACUCCGCUCCUAUCUUUUUUUUUUCAUAUAUAUAUAUGUCUUAAAAUGCCUAAAAAACCUAAAAAUCACGAUUUUUAUUGUUCGGUGCACAAUCCUGUGAAAUCGACAUGGCCUACUACACGCUCGUGUGGUCUGGCUGUGUGAAAUGGUUCAGCCGAUGUAGCUCCUGUAGCUUACUCCAAUGCUCCGGUUUUCGCUCUUUUUGCUCCAAAGUGCUUUAUUAAGUAUAAAAACAUGAAUUUAAAAGAUUUAGAGUAUAAAAUACACAAUUAACAUUAAAUAAUCACCUAAAAAUACGUUAAAAAUGUGAUUAAAACAUGUUAUUUUUAGCACUUAUCAUCAACAAACUUGGAUAUUUAUAAUUAAAGCAAAAAAUAUAUAAAUAACAAAUAAUAUAGAAAAAUUAAAAAUAAAUUAGAUCCCACGAAUUUAAAAAAUCAAAAUAUCGAAAAUUGUUUGAUUAAAAAAAGAGUUUAACAACCCAUGAAAAAACAAACAUAAAAAACAAAAUAAUAUUAAACUUGGCUAUUUGUGAUUCUAAAGUUUUAAAGCAUGCAUAUAAAAAAGUACCCCUAAUGAAUUCAAGAGCCAAUCUUCUCACAUUCGCAUUAUUAUUUUCGUAUUAUACGGUAUGUGUUUGCUUUUAGGUAUGAGACACAAAAAACCACGUUCAGAAUGAAAUCACAAAAUAGUUAUACCUAACCUUUAGUUGUGUCUUCCAUAAAAAAUAUAUAUCACAAACCCUAAACAUUUUUCAAAUUUAAAAUAAUUCUCUAUAUUUUAAUAUUAAAUAAAAUACUAAUCACGGGAGUUAGAUGAGAUAAUAAGGAUCUCUCCUACCUUAACCAGUGCUUGAGGGUUCGAUCCUCAUCCUGGGUAUGGAGCAGGUUUAAAACUCAUGACCAAUAUCUACCCCUUAAUGGACCUACAAAAUGCAUAAGAUUAAUUAGUUAUUAAACUCACUCCGAUAUUAAAUAAAGUGCCAACAAUGAGUAUCUUGAUUACAUUACUUUCCAAAAACGAUUUUUCUUUUUCAAUUUUGUAAUUUUCGUGGCAUAUCAUAUUAGUAAGUAUCAUGGUACUUUAUUACUAUAUUGUAUUCGUCUUAUUCUAUUGUUGUUUAAUAGGGAUUGAUAUAGAUCUUCUAAUGUUAGCAAGUCUCGAAAUAAUCUUUAUUAUUGAGAGAUUUUUUUAAGUUAUUGUACUGAGAUUAAUAUUUCUCACUAAGUUAGACUCUACAUAUAUAGCGAUACUGAGUUGGGUAAAUAACUCUUUUAUAUUAUGUUUUUUUAUAAUUCUUAUUGAGUGGUGUAGGAGUACCCACCAUUUUAUCACUCUUUCACACACUUGACUUGAUUCUUAACAACUUUUACAGACUAAAAAUAAUGAAUUGUUUGUGUGAGCAUAAGUUUACAAGCAUAGCGAAUACAUCAUAAGUUUGAUUAUAUAGAAAUUCUAGUAUCAUGUUUUAAGGUUUAUUGUCUCUUUCUACUAAACUUGGCCACCACUUUUUUGGUUUUGUGUUCAAAUACAUAAUAAUCAUAAUAAACUAAGGACAUAGCUAUUAUUUGGAUGUUUUUAUUUUCAAGCAUGAACUAAUUUUCUAAAUACCUAGGGGAGAUGAACUAUAUGAUGGAUUCUGUUGUUUGAUUUUUUUUUUACGUAAUAAAUACUUAGUGUCUUAUUCUCAAUUAUGUGUACUUAAUUCUUGGUUUGAUAUUUCUAAAUCAUUAAUCUAUGUUCGAUGUGCUUAAAUCGGUCGUUGAAUAGACUCUAUUUAAAAGUAGAUAUUGCUUAAUUGAGUGGAGUUGCAUGCAAUCCUAGAAAUAGGAUGACAUAAAUCUAUUGAAUUAGAGUCAAAUCUAAUUGGAGAAUCUGUAGUAAGAAUUAAUGCAAUAAUAGGGGUUUUAAUUAGAAUUUUUUUAAAUUAAUCAACCUAAAUUCAGUUGUUAUUAUGCUCAAAAAAGAUAUUUACAUAAUUUAAAGAUUUCUACGGAUUAAGGUGCUAAGUAAAGAAAUUGCAUAAUUUCGAUUGAUAGUGACAGAUGAAAUCUAGACAGAUUCUUUCCUGAAUAUUGUUUUGCUUCUUGGUUGUUACUCAAUUAUUUUCGUGAUUUAUUCUUUGUCGCGUUUGUUAGUAGUUAAAUUAGUUAACUCUAGUUUUAAUCAAUCACUUAAAUUAUUCAGUUAAAUAAUAGAAAACAAUAAUUACUAGUACUUGUAGUUCUCCUAGGAACAAUAUCUUUACUCACCAUAGUUACACUAUUAAUUAAUAGGUGCACUUGUCUUAGUCAAAAUUUUAGUUAGUUUCGUGAUACAUCACUUGCCAUGAAGUUGUUCUAUUGAUUUCACUUAGAAUCUAUGGAAGAAAUUUGAAGUUUAAAGCUUGAAAGGAUAGGAAAUGAAGGAAAGGGACUAAAAUGAAAGAAAAAUGAAACUUGCUAUAGAAAGGGAUGAAGGUGGUGUGAAUGAGAAAGAAGAAAAACAAUGAUGGAGGAUAAUGCCAAAUGAUGGUGAAAUGAGUUUUGUAGAUCUAUCCAAAAAAUAUCUACUAAAUUUUUAUAUUUUAAAUUACUAAUAAAAAAAAUCAAGUCAUCAUCGUCCAAACAAGUGAACCACAUUGCAAUUUAUUUUCAUCCACAAAAUCAUGUACCCAUUUGGGUUAAAUUGCUCUUCAAGUCCUUCCUAUUUUUUCAUCUAAUUAAUUUAGUUAUUUCUUAUUUCUAAUUUUUACACUAUUACCCAAUACUUCUCACACUUUUACAAUUUAGUUCAUACCUUAAAUUAAUUUCUCUUUAUUUAAAAAUCCUUUUAAUGUCUUAUGACAUCCAACUACCUUCUCCAUUAAUAAUAAAAAAUCUUAUUUUAUCUACUUCAAAAGUUCUAACACUUGCACAAUCCGAAAUGAUAUAUACUAUUCUCAUUUGGGGUAUUAAAGAUAUUAUAUGUAUGAUAUACAUUAGGAUUACUUAUUAUAAUUGUUGAAGAAGUUGAUAUUUUUCAUUGGGCUAAACUUUGUAAAUGUAGGAAACCAAAUUAAAUAAACAACUUCGUUUUAUUGUUUCUCUUAGUAUAAAUUUAGCGAAUACAUAAUAAGUUUGAUUAUAUAGAAAUUCUAAAAUCAGGUUUAUUGUCUCUUUCCACUAAACUUGCCACCGCUUUUUUGGUUUUGUGUUCAAACACAGGCUAGCUAUUAAGUUCUGUCUAUAAAUAGUGAAGCUCAUGUAAAGAAUAAGCAUAUAGAAAGAGAGAGAGAUCAAAUUAAUCGAUAGUUAGAAAUUGCUGCUGCCUAAAAAUAAAAACAAAAUGUCUUUCGCUGCGCCAAGGUUUAUAGUGCUGAAAUCCAAGGAGGAAUAUUUGGGCAUUGUCGAUGGAAAUGGAGCGGACGAUGGGUAUCUCAAAUUUUCAUCGGCAACACAAGCAAAAAGCGCGUAUGCAAAAUUUGAGGUGGAGGAGGCGGCUUCCGGACAUGGCUUGGUGCACAUAAGGAGCUGCCGAAACAACAAAUACUGGGAACGAGUCCAAAAGAAUCCAACGGGUGGAAAUUCAGACUGCCUAUACUGGAUUGCUGCAACUGCCAAAACGCGGGAGGAAGACCAAUCCAAGGGCUCCUGCACAUUGUUCAAGUUUAUCCCUGUGGACACUGCAGUAAAUACUGUCCGAAUUAUGCAUGUCCAGUCAAAAUGCCCUUUAUUCCUAGGUACUAACCGCUACGUGUUGGCGAGCAACCACGUUUCCGACGGUAGUUCGGAUGAUACCUUCACAAUCAUCAACAGGGAGUCGCUGGAUUUGCCAAGGUAUGUGGCAUUCAAAGGAGAUAAUGCUCAAUAUCUUCGUCUUCGUCAUAUGAACGGUCACCCAUAUUUGCAGUUUUCAUCUAGUGAUAUUAGCGACCCAAAUGUGGCAAUGGAGUUUUCCGUUAAAAAUGACGGAAUGCUCCUCAUCAAGCCCGUUUCUUCCGAUAAAUAUUGGAGGGACAGCAUGGGUUGGAUUUGGGUAGAUUCCACCAACACCAGUGAUCGAAACACUUGGUUCCGCCACUUUAAAGUUAACGACAACACGAUAGCUCUCAGCACCCUUCGCAACAAUGACUUUUGUAAGCGCCUCACAGCCGAUGGAAAGGAUGAUUGCCUUGAUGCAUGCAUUCCCACCAUUACCCAAGAAGCCCGACUGUUGGUGGAAGAGCCAGUCAUGGAAAGGCAUAUUCAGGGUAUCAAAUAUGACCUUGAUAAUCGGAGGGUGCUUGAGGAGACUGUCAUGGUUAUGUGCGCGAAUACUCACAAAAACAAUACCCCCCAUUCACAGUUUUAUGAAGUGAAAUUUUCUCUUCAAAAUACUGCCACUCGCACUUGGAAGGAUAAUCUUUCACUCAAGCCAGGACUGAAAGCCACCUUUGAUGUCCAACUUCCAUUAUUGGUUGAUGGGAAGACUAAACUAUCAACGGAACUUCAUGCAGGAUACGAGUUUGGAAAGACCUAUACCAAUACCUCUAAAAUGGAAUUCACCCACAAAGCUGAGGUGUCUCCCAUGAGUAAGAUGACCGCAAAUCUGGUUUCAACACUUGGUAAGUACGAUAUUCCCUUCACCUACAUGCAAAAGGACACUCUUUAUAAUGGGAAAACUGUCAAAUAUGAUGCGCAAGACGGCACUUACACCGGUUCUAAUUUCUACAACACCAGACUCGAAAUCAAAGAAGUGCCGCUCAACUCUUGAAUUUCAGAGCAACUAUACAAUAUUUGCUAUAGAUGAUAGUGCUUGUUUGUUUGUUAUCCGUGUGUGUACUAAAUUAAAUAAGACUGUGUGUGUAGAAUUCUGAGUUUGGUCAGAUAGGUGUACUCUUUUUCCACUUUUUGUAUGUAUACAUAUAAAGAGUGGUUUUUUAAUGAGGCACCUUUAAAAAUAAUGUGUUUCCUUUGUGAAAGUCUAUGUAUGAGUGUGUGCAUCUACGAAAUUAAAUAAUGUUUGUAUUUCCUUCGUACAGGCAGGUGUGUGUUCAUCUACUAAAUUAAAUGAAUGCGUAUUGUAGUUUCUUUCAAUUAUACAUUCAAUCCUAUGAUAAAUUAAUUAUAGUUGCAUGAUAUUCUACGACAAAUUGGUUAUAAUUGUUGACGAACCGCCAAUAAUUGAACUCUUUUAAUAUUUUCGAUAAUCAAGAUGAAUACCAUUGAUUACUUUAUCGAUAAAUAAUCCUACAAGAAAUUGCUAAGAUUCAAUUUACCAAUAGCAUGAGACUCAAUUCUUGUCAGCAAAUACACAAACAAGAUUCAUUGAGACAAAAUCAUAUAUCCACAUAAUAAUUAAUUUCAUAUUAAUUUCAUCUUUGGACCAAAAACAAGCAAAGAGUGGAAUACCACAAAGAGAAAGUGUACCUACAAAAAAAAUAAUUUGUGUAAUGGGCACGUGCUUUCUUAAACCGCCCAUAAAAAUCAUAUUCUGCUUUUCAAUGGAGAAUAUCCAUCAAUAACUUCCAUGAAAUGAAUAAUCAGUCCGAAUACUAAAAACAACAAUGCUUUCGAAUAAUCAUGGGUAAUCAAAUGAAAUAAAACGGCUCGAUAAUACCCCAUAUCUAGAGCUAAUUACAUUAUAUAACCAAGUUGGGACAUUGUAGAAUAGGCUAAACUCCUCUCAAUAUCUUUUUGAGCAAGGGCCAAAGUAGCCCCUAACAAUUCCGUUAUUAUACUUAUUAAAGAUUUUAGAUUCAUUAUGUAAAGUAUAACUAUAAAAAGAGGAAGAAUGUGGGCUAGAAGAAAAAUUCCCAUAGCUACCAUAGUGGCAGCAUGUAUAAGAGCCGAAAUUGGAGUAGACCCCUCCUGUAACGCCCCAAUUUUCGCGAAUUCUGUGGAUGUUGGCAUAGGUUUAAUUAUGUUAGUGGGCCUCUAGAAGGCCCAAGCUUAAGAUAGAACCCGGUAAUUUUAGUUAAUUUUUGUUCCAUAAGAAAAAGGGAGUGAAAUUAUGAAAUAGGACCUAUGUGAAAAUGUUUGAAAAUGCUAUAGGCUAAUUUGUAGUGGCCAAAUAAAUAGUAGUGCAAAAUAGGAGGAUUUGCAUGUCAAAUUCCCCACUUUUAAUGUAGUGGCCGGCCAAGGUGAUGGAUAGUUGAUAAUGUAUGCAUUUUAGCAUUUUAAUAGUUAAUGGAUGGUGGGCAUGGUAAGCAUUAUGGGCAUAUUUUUAUUGGAAUUAUGGCAUGAGUAUGGCACAAAUAUUAGUAUAUCAUUUAUGUGUCAUAAAAUGUUGAGUGAUAAGAAUAACAAAAGGAAGUAAAGGAAGGUUUUUGUUCAUUCUUUGUUCUUCAUAGCCGAAUUUGAGAGAGAGCAAAUAGGGGAAGAAACCCUUGAAUAUUCGGUCACUAGGAGGGGGAAAAAUUGAAGGUAAGUUCUUGGUACUUUGCUUCUAUCUUGAUGUUCAUGAGUUCUUCUUGAUUCUACCCUAACUCAUGAAGCAUAUUUUGGUUUUUGGUUGUUGUUUCAUGUUCUUUUGAUGAAAAAUGGAAGAUAGGUGAAGUUGAGCCAAAAAAAUGAGCAUGCAUGUGCCUUAGAUGCUAAGGGGAAAAUUCGGCUAACAUGUUGUGCUUUAAAAUGAUGAAAUGGAGAUUAUACUUAAGUAAAAUCAUAGAUAUGUGAUGAUUGAUUGGUGAUAUACAUGUUUAAAUAACAAGCAUACAAGUUAGGUGUGAAAGAGUGAUUUGGUAAUAAAUCUGCUUGGGACAGCAGCAGUAACGUGACUUUGGAAAAUCACCAUAAAUUGUGGGAGAUGAGUUAGAAGCUGCAUAAAUUAUGUAAUUAAAGCUUAAUGAGUCUAGUUUCAAAUGGAAUAAACGAGAACAUAUUUUGAAUUCUGUACAAUGAGAAAUUUGAUUCGUAAUGAAGAGUGGUCAGAUUAGUCAAACAGUGAAACAUGGGAAAACUUUAAGAAAAAUCUGGUAUUGAUUGGCCAUACUAAAAAUUCUGAAAAUUUUAUGGAUAGAAGAUAUAUGAGUCUAUUUUCAAGGAAAAUUAACGGCACUUGAUUUGGAGUUUCGUAACUCCAGUUAUAAAUGAUUUAGUGACUGUUGCUCAGGAAGACAGCUUGCAGUGAAAUUAUGAUUAUGGGGUAAACAUUGACAAAAAUUUGUUAAUGAGUUGCUUAUUAAUUUCUUAUAAGCUUACUAUGAUCUGUAGGUGUGAUUGGCUGAAUAUUAUAAGGGGUUAAUACGUAGUUUGUAUUUGAAUAGUUAGAUUAACGUGUUAGUAAUCCAAUUGUAGGCGGUUCGUGUGUGGAUCUCGUCAGCAUAUUGUCGCAAACAGGUGUGUAACUAACACCCUCUUUCUUAGUCUAGAUCGGCAAAAGUCAAAAAGUCAAAAUGCCGAAAAUCGGUAUUUUGUAGAUUUACGAGUGUGCGAAUGCUCGUGAGGUAAAUCGAUUAAUGCUUUAGGUAAGCUGCAAUGUUUGGACUGCAAAGUGCAUGAUUUCUGUGCCCUCGAUAUUUUUGGGCUUAAUGGGCCAAAAUUGGAAUGAUGGGCCAACGGGCCCAAUUCGGUAAGAACCCUCGGUAGUGAUUCUGUUAGUACGUGAAAGGUAGGAAUAUGCAUGAAAAACCCUAAAAUAGAUAAAUUACUGAAAUACCUUUAAAAGUGAAAAAUUUACAGUUUUACCCCUAGGAGAUAAAUUACCAAAAUACCCCUAGGGUUAAAUUGACCUAAAUGCAUGUUUGACUGUUGUUAUUUACUGCAUGCCAUGUUGUUAUUAUCUGAUGCAUGAGACUAGGAUAUUGACGGAGGAAGUACUGAAAGUGGCUUGUCCACGUAUUGGAGGCUUUGCCUCAAUUUACUGUUAACUGAGCAGCAAGGCUGCAACUGUAGAGUGUUGGGCUGGGUGAGUUGAGUUAUUCCCCACAUGGAGUGUAUGGCUGGUACGGGUGGAGUGUAGUGGUUGGUGGGUUGAGUAGUCUCCCCAAAUGGGCUUGCAUAUGUUUACUGAUGUUGCAUGUAUUUUGAAAUGGGCCUAUGGGCCAUACUAUUAUCUGAAUAAGGGGCUAAGGCCCAGUUUAUUGUAAUCUGAAAAGGGCUCUGGCCCAGUACCACUGUUACCUGAAUGGGCUUAGGCCCAAUGGGCUUGAGCUGACUUGGGCUUUGAAUGGGUUUUCCUUACACAUUGAGUAGGUGAGCCUUGAUGUGGGUGACUUGGAGCCGGAGGGGAUUUAGAGUGGCCAUGGUAAAUACUUUUGGGUUUGAAAAAGAGACUGGUUUUCUUAAGUUAUUUUUAAUUACUAUUUAAUUUUUGGGUUGUAAUAAGGCCAUUUUAACUUUAUUUUCUUCUUUGAUUUUUCUGGGAUUAUAUUAUUAAAAAAACUUUAAAUUGAUGGAUACUAAUUCAAAUGGGCUAGACUUAGGGCGUGAUUUCAAAAUGAUACUUGUUUUUUUUAAAAUAACACGACGUCACGAAUAUUCGAUUUACCAAAGAUAAUCACUCAAAGAAAUUUUGUUAGGAUCGUCCCGAUUAAGCAACGAACAAGUAAAAAUAGUAGAAGAAAUUGAGAAGAUGAACACACAAAUUUAACGUGGAAAAACCCCUCAAAAGAGGAUAAAAAACCACGGGAAAGAUAAUUUUACUAUAAUGGCAAAAGAAUGAAGAGUACAAAAGAUGGAGAUAAAAACUAAAUCCCGAAAACCCGAAAAACAAAGAACCCUCAAACGUAAACACAAAAUUCUCUGAAUGUGUUAUGAGUUCUAAUCUAAUGGGUGUCUCUUAAUUCUAAGAUUGUAAAGGAGCCUAUUUAUAGGCUAAAUUAGUAAGUCAAAUAAACUAUACUAAUAAAUGCUAAAUAUAUUAUACUAAUAAAUACUAAAUCUUCUAGAAAGAAAAUAUAUUUUUGUUUAACUUGACUUGCAAGCAAUCUCUUAGAAUUUGGGUCACAUAAUUCUAACAAAUUUCAACUUGUUAUAACCAAGUGUGGCAAUGGAUGUGGGCAUGUCUAGGAUUGGAUCCAAUCGGAGAGCUUGGUACUUAAGCAGCCUUCAUGGCUCACCUCCUCUGUUAUGGAUACUUACCUGGUGCCCAGCUUCCAUUCACUUGGUUAGUUUGACAAAAGUCGGCUUUUUAAAACACUAAAAAGGGAGCACGGGUUUUUGACUUCAAAGUGGCACGUCGGAUUCGGCCUUAACGUCUGGGCCGGGUUUGGGGUGCUACACCUCCAUGGCAUCAAGUAACCAUACAUGAAGAGGAAAUUGCGCUGAUUUAGCAACUAUGCCGAUAAAUAAUAAAGAGGCACAUAGAGUAACAAAUAAAAAAUGGACCUCAUUAUUAUAAAUCAAAUAAUUAAAUAUUUCGAAUAAAUCUUAAAAUUCGUAACUUCCCGUUAUCCAAUAAAAACAUAAAAUUCCUAAUAAUAAACCAAAAUUGCCUAUCCGAUUAGUUACAAAUGCUUUUUCACAAGCGUUUGCCGUAGCGUGUCGUAUAAUCCAAAAUCCUAUUAAUAGAUAAGAACACAUUCCAACUAAUUCCCAAAAAAUAUAAAUUUGUAUCAAAUUCGAACAGACGUACACAACCAUACUAUUUGCCACAAGUAUUAGAAUCAAUUGAACAAUUAAAUUCUAAUUGAUAAGACAUAUAUAUCAAGCUAUCUAAUAUGAGUUCUAUAUUCAACAAAUCUGAAUAUUUAUAGUACAAAUAUCAAAGAAUAUUAAAAAAAUUAAAAAUAAUAUAGAACCCACAAACUUAAAAAACCAAAGCAAGGAAAAUUGUUUGAUUAACAAAAGAGUUUAGCAGCUCUUAAAUUGAAUUAAAGGACGUCUAGACCAAUAAGUACUUCAGAGGCUUUUGCACUGGCAAUAGUAGGGUUAAGCAUUCGGAUGCCUUUAAAGUAUGGUGGUGAGAGUGUUGAAGAGAAUGUGAGUAUUGGUCUUUGUUUGAUUAGUUGUUUUAUUUCUGCUACUAUGUAUUCAGUUAAGAAAAUUUUGCAAAGUUGCUUUUAUUAGCUUUGGUACUACAGUUUAUUAUAUGCUACAAGUUUUUGAGACUGGAAUGACUUGGAUUCUCCAUGGCCUUUUUCUGUAUUUGUUAAUGAUUGAGAAAAAAAAAAGUAAUUCGGAGGAUGAAAACUCUUAAUAAUGAUAGGUUGGUAUUGGCUUGAGCUUUUAACUUGUGGAACUAAAGUACAUCAGUUCGACUAUAUAUGUCCUCAUGUAAUUUGAAAAUGUUAAAAUUUUAUAUUUUUAAGUAGAAAUUUAGUGCGAUUUGUGCUGACAUGGAUAGUCAGGACGAAAUCAGAAAAGUUUUUAAGCGGGCGAAAUUAGAUUAUAAUUUUUAUCAUUUUAAUAGUUUGUAUCUUUUAUUGUACAUUUCUUUAUAGAACUAAUUAUGAAGUUCGUAAAUAUAACAAAUUUAAUUAAUCAAUAUGAGUUAUUAAAUUAAAUUAAUUAUUUUAUCAUGAGUUAUUAAAUUUAAGUAAUCAAUUUAUAAGUUUGUGAAGUUCUGAAUUCAUAGUAGAAUGUUUAAUUAGGGGUUUAUUGAAUUGAUAUCUUUAAUCCUAGUAAUUGAAGAUUAUUUUCAUUUAUUAAAACAUAAAAAAAAUUUGAUGUGGAAUUUAAUUAUCUUAUUGAAAUAAUAUUUUAAUAAGAUAAUUUUUAUUUAAUAAAUUAUAAUUAAUAUGUUUGCUUGUAUAAAAUAGUUAUAAUUUUACUUGAAAUUUUUGACAAUAUGCUAUUUCAGAGAACUAAUUUAAUAAAGAAUAUACUUCAUAACUAUGGUUGUUGCUUUUAUAAGUGGAAAAUUAUUAUAAAGGGUUAAAAUAAAAUAUUAAAAAUCGAUUUUACUAGAAAGUUGGUUGUUAUAGUGAAAUGUAUUUUUUUUUUGUAAAAUAAAAUAGCUUUAAGCGACAUUGUUAAGAAAACAAAUCAGUUCCUUUUACAACCAAUAUAAUUUGCUUGAACUAAAUCCCGUACUGAAUAAGAUGGUUCUUCAAACAGUUGGACCUCUGUGAAACUUGUAGCCGUAACUUUAACCAUAUGGUCAGCAACUGUAUUAUGAGCUUUUGGAAUAUGUCGUAUACAAAUCUUCCAACUUAAAUGUAUCAUUCAAUGAAUAGAGCAUAAUUACAACAUCUUAUUAUCAGUUGAACCCCAUGUGAUGGCCUGGGUUCAAGUCGUGCUAGUCGCGUUUGUUGUUCAAGCAUUACCUUAUCAUUAGCUCUCCACCCUACACGAGUGAACCGCUCCAAACCUCCACCGUCUUCUCUAUUUUGUUGAAAUUUUACAUCAAUAAUUGAUGUGUUGAGCAUCAACUCACUAUUUAGAUCUAGUAAAUAAAAUGCGACUCUUCCAACAAUUGAUCAAAAUUACUUGCGUUCACAUGAUAAAAUUUGAUCUAAAACAGGUUAGUCUCUACUAUUCAACAUACCCACUGUGUUAGUGUGGGUUGGUCUCUUGCCAAGCAGUGAACUCCACUAUAUUUCGAGCUAUUAUUAAUACAUACGUAUGUGUUAAAAGAAGGACCCUUCUCCAUAUUUGAGAGCUCUGCAUAUGAGAGAGCUCCAUCAUGUGUUAGUAUGGCUUUAUUGCUUGAAAACUCAUUGCUUCCAUGGAAGUAAAUUUCUUUUAACUGGAUUGCCUCGAAGUUUAUAUUUUGCUGAUUGAGUUUCAAAACAACACACUCUGGACACUAUAUUUAGAGUAUUUGAGCACACCACACACAAAUCUCUUUAAUUAUUCACAUAUCAAAAGUACAUGAUAUUUACAUGAUAAAAAUAAAAGUGCACAACACACAUUGGCUUCCAUGAAAGAAGCACAGUUUUAUUUAGUUUCGUACAUACACACACCCUGCCUGACUCAGAUCCUGUCGUGCCUUCCCCGUAGCAGUAGUUGCUUAAACGGAAGAGCUGAGUGAUUUGGUUUGAAAGUUGAGACUGUAGUAAUUAGAACCGGUGUAAGUGCCGCCUUGCACUUCAGAUAUGACAACGUUGCCAUUAUAAAGAGUGUCCUUUUGCAUGUACGUGAACGGAACAUCACAUGUACCAUUUAUUGCAGUCAGAUUCACUGCCACCUUAGUCAUCGGAGGCACAACAACUUUGUGUACAACAUCCAUCACAGAAGUCACUGUCUUGGUAUCUUGCCAUUCAAAUCCUGUCUGAAUUUCGCCAGAUAACUCAAUGCUCCCCUCAAAAAUUUUUGAAAGGCCGAAUUUCAUGGUAGCUUUUGUCCCUACCUUUAGUGAUACAUUAGCCUUCCAAGUACGAGUGUGGGUGUCUGUGUAAGAAAGUUUCAGGUCUAAAGAUUCGGAUUUCCGGGUAUAGUUACUAGCAGAAUUCAUCGCAAUCACAAGUUUGCUUUCGUCGUAUAUCCUGCAAUUAUCAAGAUCAUACUUGAUAUUAUAAAUUUUUCUUUCCAAAACAGGCACUUCCACUAGAAGCUGGACUUCCUUUGUAAUAGAGGAGACAUCUGCGUUAAGGCAAUUAGUCUUUCCCUCCUUACUAAGGCUCUUGCAGUAGUUAUUGUUGCCCAUAUUGCGAAGAGCUAUUGUCUGGUCGUUAACUUUGAAGGGUCGAAACAAGGUGUCCUUGUUGUUGCUGGUAGUGUCAUCAGAAUCCGCCCAAAUCCAAUUCGGACUCCGCCGCCAAAACUUAUUGGAACCAGCAGGCUUGAUGCGAAUGCUUCCAUCAUUAUUCAUGAAAACCUCCAUGGUCACACCCGCAUCACCAAUAUCACCAGAUGAAAAUUGCAAAUACGGAUGACCCUCGAUCUGACGAAGACAACUGAUACUGGCCAUUGUUUCCUUUGAAUGCCACAUGCCUUGGCAAAAACACGAGCGUUUCCCAAUCAAUGAUUGUGAACAUAUCACGGGAAUACUCAUCGAGGUGUUCGGACGUGAAGGUUGGGAGUUUCACGUAUUACCCAUAAAUAUUUUCUCGAUUGCACAUGCACAAUUUGGACUUCAUUUGCUGCAUCAUCUACAGAGAUAAGCUUGAACAAUGUGCAUGACUUCUUGGAUCGGUCUUCCUCCGGCUUCUUGGCGGUCGCGGUGAUUCUGGUUUCAUCGGAAACCAAAUAUUUGUUGUUCUGACUGCUCCUUAUGUGCACUAAGCCAUCUAUGCCACCGCGUUGAGCAAUCUCAACCUCAAAUUUUGCAUAUGGGCUCGCAACCCGAGUUUCAGAAAAUUUGAGAUACCCAUCUUUAUAAUCUCCCUUUUCAUGGUCAAAGCCCAAGUAUUUAUUAUUCUGAUGGGAUUUGAUCACGAUAAACCUUGGCGACGCAAAUGGCUUAUUCGCAAGCAACUCCCAGUCAAUGACAGUGAAGAGAUCACAGGAAUUACCAUCGAAAACUUUGUAGUUUGCCUGUUGGCACAUAAUUAAAUUAACCUUGCACAAAUAAAUUAUGAAAAGUUAGAAGAGUGAAGAGACUUGAAUAUAAAAAGUGAAAAAACUUGAAUAUGAAUAGUGAAGAGACUUGAAGAUGAAAAGUUAAGAGGCUUGAAUAUGAAAAGAUACACACAUGCAUGAAUAGUCACAACUCCUAGCAUAUAGUGAUAUAGAUGAAUAGUCACUUACAACUCCUAUAUAAAGAGUUGUAUGUGAUGAAGAAUUAUUAACUUUGUGUGCUUGAAAUAAAAGAUUAUUUGAAAGAAUUUUUUCAUACAAAAUUUAUUUCUCGUCUCCAUUAUAUUCUUUAUCAUUUUCUUUGUUUUAUUUCUCCAAAUAUUAAUCAUUCAACUACAUUGCCAACACACAGUUAUUAAACGUUGGAGAAUCUACCCACCAUAAGCAUAAAUAGCAACCUGACUGCACAUGCAUAAUUCGGAUCUUAUUUGUUGCAGUGUCCACCGGGAUAAGUUUGAACAACGUGCACGACUCCUCGGAUCGGCCUUCCACCGGCUUGUCGGCUGCUGCAGAAAUCCAAUACUGCUCUGUUGAGUUUCCAGUGAUGGAAACAUUUUUGACUCGUUUGCAGUAUUUUUUGUUGUGGCAGCUCUUUAUGUGCACCAACCCAUCUUCCCCACCGCAUUUGGCCCUUUCCACCUCAAAUUUUGUGUAUGGACUGAAAGCCAAAGUUUCCGAAAAUUUGAGAUACCCAUUACAAUCGUAACUCUCAUGCAUAUAGCUCAAAUAUUUGUUCCUCGCCUCACAUUUGAGCACCAUAAACCUUGGCGACGCAAAUGGCUUAUUCGCAAGCGACCAGUCGAUGACUGUGAAGAGAUCACAGGAAUUACCAUCGAAAACUUUGUAGUUUGCCAACACACAGUUAUUAAACGUUGGAGAAUCUACCCACCAUAAGCAUAAAUAGCAACCUGAUUGCACAUGCAUAAUUCGGAUCUUAUUUGUUGCAGUGUCCACUGGGCUAAGCUUGAACAACGUGCACGACUCCUCGGAUCGGCCUUCCUCCGGUUUGUCUGCUGCUGCAGAAAUCCAAUACUGCUCUUUUGAGUUUCCAGUGAUGGAAACAUUUUUGACUCGUUUGCAGUAUUUGUUGUUCUGGCAGCUCUUUAUGUGCACCAACCCAUCUUCCCCACUGCAUUUGGCCCUCUCCACCUCAAAUUUUGUGUAUGGACUGCAAGCCAAAGUUUCCGAAAAUCUGAGAUACCCAUGACAAUCGUAACUCUCAUGCAUAUAGCUCAAAUAUUUGUUCCUCGCCUCACAUUUAAGCACCAUAAACCUUGGCCAUGCAAUUGCCAUUUUCACUACACCUCUCUCUUUCUCUCUUUUUUAAUCUAAACUUGAGCUGAUUGAUGAGUCUCUACCAAUUAGCUUCUAUUUUGUUUCUUUCUUGCUUAUGCUUACCACAACCUUCUAGACCUCACAAUUUAUAACUAAAAUUUUGUUGCUAUAAUUUAUCACAUUCUUUCCCGCAUGUUCAAGCAAAGUACCAAAGGAGAGACCAAUAACAUCUUUUCAAAGUAAAAACUAUAAAGUAAAAGUGAAUUCUGGCAUAGCAAAGUAGUCAAGUAAAAACAAAUAAAAUAAUGUUUGUUCCUAAACUUGACAACUAGGUUGUUUUGGUUCUUAAAUUUGGAUUUGUUAAGAUUUGAUGAUGUGACUUGUGUUAUUAGAACAAGUUUAGGUUGGACAGAUUGAGAACUAUUGAAAUAAUGGUCCGAAAAAAGGGAUUGGACGAAUUAACUCGAAAACUACUUAAAAUUGAUUAAAAUAAAAAACCGAGACAAAAAGCAACAAUUGAACAAGUUGAAUUGAUUUAAUACUUUUUUAUUUUUUAAAAGUUUAUGAAUUUUUAAAUAAUUAAUUAUUGUUGGUCCAACAAUUGAAUCGAUUGAACUGACUGAAUCAAGAAUCAUUGAUUUGACCUAUUCAACCAUCAAUCUCGUUAUUAAAACAUUAAAUGUGAAUUCUAUGAAAUAACGAUGUAGAAUGCAAUCCAUAAACAUAAUAUUACAUCUAUGUUAUUGUGCUUUAAUUGAGAUAGUGUUGCUGAUUUUGGAGAGCAUAUAUCCGAGUGAUUACGUUUUGAUUGUUAUUGAUGUAAUAGCCAUUUUCAAGGAGUUAGUUUGUAUGCACUUUCACGCUAUGUUAGCAAGCUGAAAUUGAUAUAUGUUUUGUGGCUUAUCUAGGUUUUGUAAGAGAGCUUAUUGAGUACAUUCUAAUUUGUUCAUUGAUGAAUUAUUUUUUGUGAGAGAGUGCAGACUAUUAUUGUAAACAUUGUUGAAGUGUUUAUUACACAAGUUCUUUAGGUACAAAUGUGAGAUCUCUAUACUUGGGGAGUGAUAGAGUGUAAACCCCUUGUUGUAUUGAGCAUUAAAGAUAGUGAAAUCACUUGCUAAAUUAAGCUCUACAGACGUAAAGAAACCAAACUGGAUAAAUAAACAUUUGUGUUAUUUAAGUUUUUAUUUUCACAAUCAUAGUAACCGCUGCAAUAUAAUACUUCCAUUGUAAUUUUCAUUUUAAGCAAAUAGACUACUUAAGAUAGCAACAUACAAGUUAUAAUUGCUCAUAUUCUUCUCUAUUAAAUCUUCAAAAUGAUAAAUAAAUUGAAUUAAAUUGGUAAAAAUAAACUAAAAUAAUAACAAUUAAAGUAAAGUAAAUCAAGUAUUGAAAUAUUUUCUUUGAACUAAUAAAAAUGCUAUAUUUAUAACAUUAAUAAAAUGUUAAUAGGAAGGAAUUUAUGGAAUCCAACAUUUUCUUUCUUUAAUUUAUCCAUUUCUUUGGGCAUGAUUAAGAAAAGGACAAAAGGGGCAGACAACAUAAUUUAUUCACUAAAGAAAAAUGUAAUUACAAGACAUUACAUCUUUUUUAAAGUAAAAAUUACAUAUUCUCACUUGUAAACUAAGUUUAAGUGACUCCCAUGACAUAACUAAAGUAAUUCCGCAAGGAAAAUUGGUCGGUUAAAUUGAAGCAUUAAAAAUUUAAAUGUUGAAGAAUUCGUAUUCAAUUAGAUUAUUUAAAAUUAAGUACAAACUAUAAUUAGAUUUUUUUUAUAAAUAUAAUUUUUAAAUCAUUUAAAUGUAAAAUUAUUUAAAAAAAUAAUAUUGAAAAGAAAUAAAAUAAAAUAAAAAUAAUAAAAAAAUAUUCUACAUUCUUUAUCUAUUUAUAAUUUUUCACAAUUUAUAACUAAAAUUUUGUUUCUAUAAUUUAUCACAUUCUUUCCCGCAUGUUCAAGCAAAGUACCAAAGGAGAGACCAAUAAGAGAAUGCAAUCCAUAAACAUAACAUCUUUUCAAAGUAAAAACUAUAAAGUAAAAGUGAAUUCUGGCAUAGCAAAGUAGUCAAGUAAAAACAAAUUAAUAAAAUAAUUUUUGUUCCCUAAACUGGUAACUAGGUCUACUUUGUUUUUAAAUUUGGAUUUUGUCAAGAUUGGAUGAUGUGAUUUGUGUUAUUGGAACAAGUCUAUUUGAGAACUGAUUGAAAUGAUGGUCUGAAAAAAAGGGAUUGGACGAAUUAACUCGAAAACUACUUAAAAUUGAUUAAAAUAAAAAAUCGAGACAAAAAGCAACAAUUGAACAAGUUGAACUGAUUUAAUACUUUUUUUUUAUUUUUAAAAAGUUUAUGAAUUUUUAAAUAAAUAAAUAAUUAUUAUUGGUCCAGCAAUUGAAUCGAUCGAACUAUUGAAUCAGGAAUCAUUGAUUUGACCUGUUCAACCAUUGAUCCUGUCAUUAAAACACUAAAUGUGAGUUCUAUGUUAUUGUGCUUUGAUUGAGAGAGUGUUGCUGAUUUUGGAGAGCAUAUCUCCGAGUGAUUGUUCUUUGAUUGUUAUUGAUGUAAUAGUCAUUUUCAAGGAGUUAUUUUGUAUGCACUUAAACGCUAUGUUAGUAAUUAAGCUGAAAUUAAUAUAUGCUUUGCGGUUUAUCUAGGUUUUGUAAAAGAGCUUAUUAAGUACAUUCUAAUUUGUUCAUUGAUGAAUUGUUCUUGUGAGAGAGUGCAAACUAUUAUUGUAAACAUUAUUGAAGUGUUUCGUACACAAGUUCUUAGGGGAGGAUUUGGAGUUGAGUGUUAUCAUCUUUAGGUACAAAUCUGAGAUCUCUAUAUUUAGGAAGUGAUAGAGUGUGAAUCACUUGUUGUAUUGAGCAUUAAAGAUAGUGAAAUUACUCACUAAGUUAAGCUCCGCAGACGUAGAGAAACCGAACUGCAUAAAUAAACCUUUGUGUUCUUUGAGUUUUUGUUUUCACAAUCGUAGCGACAACUACAGUAUAGUAAUUUCAGUGUAAUUUUCAUUUUAAGCAAAUAGGAUAGCAACAUAUACAAGUUAUAAUUGCUGAUAUUCUUCUUGUAAAAAUCUAUCGAAUCUUCAAAAUAAUUGUUUAUAAUAUUAAUAAAUUGUUAAUAGGAAGGAAUUUAUGGAAUCCAACAUUUUCUUUCUUUAGUUUAUCCAUUUCUUUGGGCAUGAUUAGGCAAAGGACAAAAAGGGCAGAUAACAAAACUUAUUCACUAAAGAAAAAUGUAAUUCCAAGACAUUACAUCUUUUUUAAAGUAAAAAUGACAUAUUCUUACUUGUAAACUAAGUUUAAGUGAUUCACAUGACAUAACAAAAGUAAUUUCUCAAGGAAAAUUGGUUGGAUAAAUGAAAAAUUAAGUAUUAAAAAAUUAAAUGUUGAAAAAUUAGUAUUGAAUAUUAGAUUAUAAAAUCAGUUUGGUGUAUUAUUUAAAAUUAAGUACGAAAUAUAAUUAUAUUUUUUAUAAAUGUAAUUUUUAAAAUUUUAAAGUUAAAAGUAUUUAAAAAAUAAUAUUGAAAAGAAAUAAAAUAAUUUAAAAACAUUCUACAUGAUAAUAGCUCUUUAUCUAUUUAUAUUUUUUCAUGCUUUUUCAUUGAAAAAUUAAACCUGUUUUUUUAUUAUGGUUUAUCAUACAUGUAUAAAAAAUAAAAUCAAUCAAAAUAUUAAUUUUUUGUUGAUUUGAUUUUCAAAAGUUCUCAAAUAAUCCCUAAAUUAAAGUAAUUAAGUAAAAACAUAUCUAAAGUAGGGGUGUGCAAAAAAAUUUCUAAACCGAAAAAAUUGAAGUGAACUGAAUUGAGAAAAACGAACUUUUUCGAUUUAUUCGGUUUUUAUGUUCAGUUUAAUUGAUUUAUUUGGUUGGUUUUUAUUUUGACAUUUUUUUAAACCGAAUAAACCGAUUAAGGCCAUAACCCAUAAGACCAAAAGUCCAUAACCCAUUUACGUACCUAAAUUCAAAUUUAAAUUGAUCCAAAUACUCAUUAAAACUUAAUAUUCUUAAAAGCCUAAACCCAUUAAUAUUUAAAACCCAAUUUUUGUAUGAUGUUCAUUUUAAAAAUUUUUAUUUAAUAUAUAAAAAAACCCUAAAUUGAUAGGUACUGGUUAAGAAUAUAGUAGAAGACAUGGAAAUUGUAUGUUAGUCAUGUAAGAAAAUUAAUAUCUUUUAAUUCAUUAAAAUUAUUUGAUUUAAUUUUAAUAUUUUUAAUUCAAAUACUCAUUUACUCUUCCUAGAGCUCCAAUAAGUUGAAAGUCUACUUGUAAUUUUAAAAACUACAGAGCCAGAGUAUAUGGCACUUUCAAGGGUUGUUAAAGAGGUUGUUUGGCUUAUUGGAUUGUCAAAAGAUUUGGGAGUAUUUCAAAGUCACAUAAAUCUUUAUCGUGACAGUCAGUGUGCUAUUCACUUGACAAAAAUUGUGUUUGCCAUUCAAGAACUAAACACAUUGACAUAUCGCUUUGUGCGAGAAAUCUUUGAAAAAUGAAAUAUUUUACUUCAAAAGAUUGCAACAACUGAAACUCUUGCAAAUAUGAUUACCAAGGUGGUAACAAUAAUCACUAUUUAAACUUGAUUAAUAUCCUGCAUGUUUAAACACCUAUGGAUGAAUCACCUCUCAAGAGUACAUUUAGAGGCACUAUUAAAGAUGACUUCAUUAGAGAUGAGGAAGGGAAGACACUGAAAGUUUAGUGAAAUUAUAACUCGCCAAAGAUGGAGAUUUUUUGUGUUUGGUUGAUUUUACUAAGCCACCUCUUACCCUCUAUAUAAUAGGGGAGGGUAUAGGGGCAAAACCAAAAAUUACCUAAUGAUGGAAUUAAAUUGUAUAUUUUUACGAUAAUAAAAAGUUAUAAUUUCACCAUUUUAAUAGUCUAUAUAUUUAUAAUUUUUAUAGGAUUAAAUCUAAUUUUUAUCAAUUUGAGGGGUCAAAAUGUAAUUUUAUCAUUACUAAUUUAAAAUUUUAUAAAUUAUAAAGGAGCCUAAAUGAAAAAAAAAUUCAUUUUAGGAAGAACCGAGGCCAAUGGCAGAACUAAGGGGGGCUGGCAAGGGCCUUGACCCUCCUAAAAUGGAAAAUUUUCUAUUUAGGCCAUUUAUAAUUUAUAAAAUUUUAAAUUAGUAAUAAUAAAAUUACACUUUAGCCUCUCCAAAAUGAUAAAAAUUUGAUUUAAUUCUUUAAAAACAAUUUAAUUUCAACCGAAAAAAUUUUUCUAACUCCACCACAGUCGGGGCCCCAAUCAUCCCCUAGCUUCGCCAUUGAGAGGGAGUGAUAAAAUUUAAACUCGUGUCAUCAAGUAUCAAACAAAAGCUUUAAUCAUUGUUCCAAUUAAAUCUUAGCGAAAUUGACCAAACUAUUGUAAUCAAGGCAACAAAUCUUCGCCAUCGAAUAUUAACUCAAGAUUGGUCAUUAUAUAUUAUUUGACUUGCUUUAAUAUUCAUAGUUUGAAUUAAUAAGAUCUUAAGUUAAUAUAUUAUAAAAUUAUAGGUUGGUGUUUAGAAAUAUUAGAAUUUUGAAUUAAUCUUUCUGAAAAUCAUAAAAAUAUAAAUGAAAAAAAUAUAUAGAUUAAAAAUUUAUUUGCUGAAUGUUAUUGGUUUUUAUUGUGUCAACUAGUUUUGGAUUUAAUAUUUUUUAUUUUUAAAGGCAUGGCAGUAGCUGGCAUUGUUUGUAAUUGGCUUUCUAUUAAUAAAUUCUCUCCAUUCCUGAAAAGGGAAAAAAAAUUAUAAAUGUGAAUGAGACAAAAAAUGAUUGUUAAAUAGAUGAUUUAAACGAUUGUUAAAUAAAAUCAUUCAUUAAAUGAGUCUCUAGAAAGUAAAAUUGAUGAAUCUGAACUGUAUUAACAAAUAUAAUUUGUUGAUUUCUUUCCUUGCCUUACUCUCUUUUAUAAUUUGUUUGUUAAACUAUCUUGUUUCAACUUUUGUUUAAACAUCAGUUGGGACAUCGAAUUGAGAUAAGGAAAAAAUCAAAACUUUUUCAAUUGGUACCGGAAUAAAUUUCAAGAGAUGUUUGAAAGUGAUCCUAUGUUUAAUUUGCAACCAUGGAUACGAAUGUAGUUCAGUCUACUCAAUCCCCCUUACUUCUUGGUACAAAAAAUGAUUCAUAUUGAAAGGUUCAUAUGAGGACUUUCAUCACAUUCAUUAAUGAAGCAACUUAGGAAGUUAUUGAAGAUUGAUGUACUCGACCCUUUGUGACAAUUGCUAGUGGCACCACACGUCUUAAAAAAGAAACAAAUACGCUAUCGAAGAAAAAAAAAGCUACUCACGAAAAUUCACAAGCUCUAAAUGACAUUUUCAGUGGUGUUAACUUGGAUAAACUUAAAGUCAUUUCUAUGUGUGAAUUUGCUAAGGAUGAAUGAACAAUCAUACAAAAUCAACAUAAAGGAAAUGAUGCUAUGCGAACGCCAAAAUUUCAGAUUUUAACGAGCGUGUUUUAUCAAUCAUGCGUAGCUGCACUCUUCGAAAGCUGUUGAACUUUGACAAUUAGCUGGAUUAGAUUUUUCUAAUAUACUAUUUUAAGUCUGAUUGCUAUUUAAAGCUAUUUAAAACUAAACCUUGAAGCUGCGAAGCAACUAAAUUUAAAGAAAUUGCAGGCAAGUUUUAUGAAUUUUUAGAAUAUUUAAUAUUUAUUAUUAUAAUAUAUUUAACAUUUAUUAGUAUAAAAUAUAUUUUUUUUAUAAAAUUUUAGCAGACAAUUUUAUUACUAAAUUUUUUGUUUCUUCUCUGUAAUUCUUUCUUCCUUACCGUCGAAAUUCCAACAUACUCUAACGAUAUUUUUGUUAAGGGUCUUAUGGGUCAUUACUGAUCCAGCUUGGAGCCAAAGUUCGCUGAAGUUUUUGCGGUCUGUGAAGCUCUUUCUUGGUUGAAGGCUCUUUGUAUGGAUGGUAUCAUGAUUGAGAGCGACAACCUCCAAGCGAUUUUGAAGCGAGUUGAUGACGAUGUCUCUGGUUUCAAUGUUUAUUUCGGUUCUUGCAUCUGAUCAAUUCCAUAAUUUUUUCUUUUGUUGGACGCGACAGGAAGCAAGGCAGCUCAUAUGUUUAUGAGAGUAGCCUUAUCUUAUGAAAAUAGAAGAUGUUUGGAUCAAAGUGUAGAAGGUAAGUCGGUCGGCUUAAGACUUUGUUUUUAUCCUCUCUUUUUAUCAGUUCAUGUUCUUAAUUCCGCCUAAUGAAGUUAUUUCCCCAUAAAAAAAGAAUUUUAUUAUUAUUAUACAUAUAUAAUAAAAUUGAAACACAAAUCUAAACUGAACUAGAAUCAAGCUUUGGCAUGAUACCAAAUUAUUUAUUCAUUUAUUCUCAUAAUUGAAGUACAUGACAUAGUUAAUAAUAAGAUAAACAGACAAAUAACAGACAAAUAGUGCUUCUACUAUGAAGGAAACACCAAUUUAUUUAGUUUAAUUUAUAAAGUACGCCACACACAAAUCUUCAAGUUUCCAUGGAAUUGUGGGGUUUUUCUCAAUUCAAGAGGUGAGAGGUUCUUCUUUGGUAUCAUAUUGGAUAUUGUAGUAAUUAGCACCAGUGUAAGUGUUACCAAUGACAUCAGUUGUGACAACGUUCCCAUUAUAAAGAGUAUCUUUUUGAGUGAAUACGAAGGGAACAUCACACACGCCAUGGGACAUCAAUAGAUACACCGUCACCUUAGUCAUCGGUGGCACUUGAACUUGGUGGUUAACUUCCAUCAUGGUGACUGUCGUCUUGGUCUCUCCCCACUCGAUUCCUGUUUCGUAUUUGGAAGAUAUUUCGACUCCCGCUUUACCGAUUAAUGGAACCCCUACUUGGAAGGUGGCUUUGGUUUCAAGGCCUAACGUAAAAUAAGCUAGCCAAGUACUGGAACUGGUCUCUGUAUAAGAAAGUUUCACAUCGAGUGUGCUGGCUUGAGUGGUACGGUUAAUGGCAGAAUUAUUCGCCACAACACGGACUAUUUCGUUAUAGACUCGAGCAUUUUCAAUAUCGUAUCGGAGAUUAUAAAUCUGCCUUGACAACACAGGCUCUUGAACCAUUAAGAAGGCUUCUCUUGUUAUAGAAGGGACGGCUGCAUUAAGGCAAUUCGUCUUUCCCUCGGUCGUGAGGCGCUUGCAGAAAUUAUUGUUGCCCAAGUUGAGCAGAGCUAUGGUCUUGCUGUCGACUUUGAAGGCACUAAACAAAGUGUCCUUAUUGGUUCCUUCAGUGUCAUUAGAAUCCGCCCAAAUCCAAUUCGGGCUACGCCUCCAGAACCGAUCGGAAGAAAGCGGCUUGACCCGGAUGUCUCCAUUCUUCAUAUAAAAAACUUCCAUUGGCACAGAUCCAGCACCGACAUCCGCACCCGAGAAUUCUAAAUAUGGGUGACCCUCGACCUGGGUAAGACGAAGGAACAUAUCAUUGUUUCCUUUGAAAGCAACGUACCGGGGCAGAAUCACCAACGACUCCCAAUCAAUAACUUCGAAGAUAUCAUCGCCAUUAGCCGCAAAAUGAUUCUUGUUUGCCAACACUCCACGACCGAGUUCCGAUGUAGCCAAUGGCCAUAAGUAUAAAUAGCAUCCAGAUUGAACAUGGACAAAUCGACAAUUUUCAUAUACAGGGUCUUCAAAGAUAGGCUUGAACAAUGUGCAUGACUCCUUGGAUUGGUCUUCUUCCGGCUUAUCGGCGGUUAUAGUAAUCCAAUACUCCUCAUUUGGUUUUCCGGUGAUGGAAGGAUUAUGAGUUCGCUUCAAGUACUUGUUGGUGGUAGAGCUCCUUAUGUGCACCAGCCCAUCUUUAGCAAACUCCACUUCGAAUUUUGCAUUUGCGCUCACGACCUUUGUUUCGGUGAACUCGGCGUACCCCUUGUACUCUCCGUUGUCUUGUUUGGAGCCAAGGUAUGUUUCGGCGCCGGGGGAUUUGAGCACGAUGAACCUUGGCAAUGACAUUUUGAAUAACAAAGUAACUUUCUCAAUCUUGUGCUUAUGCUUUGGUAUACAUUAAGCCUCAAUGGCUCAGCUUUUUAUAGAUAAAACUUAAUUGCUCUUACCACGUUUUUGUAAGUCCAUUCCAACUAAUUAAUUAAUAUUUUAAUUUGUGUGAUUAUGCCUCUUUGCUAAGACAUGUUUUUAAUGUGUACCAAAAACAUUAACCAUUAUUCAAUUACUAUUUUAGAACCAUAUUUUUUUUAAAAUUUUAGAAAUGCAAUAAAACUUUAUUUCAAUAUAUAUAUAAUAUAUGUUAAAUUAAUAUGAAUGCUUAAAUGCUUUGAAAUUUAUAAUAUAUGAAUUAAUAAUGUAUUAAAAACUUAUUUAAAUAUAAAAAUAUUCUAAAUUGGAUUAUAUUAUGAAAUAUAUGAUGGAUUACACAAAUUAACAAGUUUUGAGAGGUAUAAUUUUUACUCAACUUCUUGUUGUUAUUAUAAACAUCGAUAAUGGCAGUAGAACAAUUGCAAAGUAAUAAGAAAAGAAAAAUAAGAACACCCUGAUUUUACAUAGAAAUUUUUUUGGGGAAAAAUCACGGCUAAAGAAGAAGAAAUUCACUAAUGGUGAAAAUCAAAUAAGGAGUUUCGACUACAUAUAUUUAAGGGUUGAAAAACCUUAUUCUAAUCAAAAUUAAAUAGAAGUAUAAUUGUAUACAGAUUUAACUUGUGCGGUAUGGCCCAUACCGCGAGAAUCCCUCGGUCCUUCAUUUCCACAACCCUUGGGGAUUCAGAUUACACAAUCUUUUAACACUUUUUUUUGUAGUCCAUUCAAAAAGUGAAAUUAUUAUUUAAUAUUUUAAUAGUGGUUUUUUAAAUUUUACAAGUGAAAUUAAAAAAAAUUAUCAUGCCUUUUAUUUAUUUUUUAGUUUUUAAAAUAUUUUUUUAGAAUAAAUAAUAAUUUGGCAAAUAAUUAAAAUUGAAAAGGACAGGGAAAGAAAAAAAUUCAAAGUUGAAACAGUGUAUUCCACGUGGGGUUUCUCCAUCAAUCAAUGACUCGCGAUUGCUUUUACUUUGGGAUAAACUAACUUUUAAUCUUUGAAUUUCAUAUUUUUUUAAAUUUAGUCCUUAACUUUUUUGGUUUACUUUAGUUUUAGAAUUUGAUAAAUUUUUUUAAUUUUAGGUCAUGUGAUGACAUUAUAAUAUGAUAUUGUACUAUGUUAUCACUUAAAAAAUAUAUUUUUCUUUCUGUUUUAGGAAUUUUUAUUUGUUCUUGUAACACGUUUUUUUAGUCUUGUUUAUACAAGUAACCUUAGUUUUACAAGUGAUUUUAUGAAUGAUCUUGUUGUCGUCCUCUCUAAUUUGGUUAAUGCUCUAAUCUUUUUUCGAUUUUUACUCGCCGCUUUGGAUCAUCCAUCGUUGAUUUUUUUAUCGCAUUAAGUGCUUGCAAUCACUCUAUAUAUGUCGUGCUUGAUUUGUGAUAAAGCCAAUUGUCAACAGGUCGGGUCAUGAUACUGAGACUAAAGUCUUUGUUGUGUUAUUUAAGCUUGUCUUUCACUAUCUAUGAUGGGUGUUUGUUAUUUUUUUCUCUAAAUUAUAUGAUUCCCUUUAUUAAUUAAUAAACUUACCUUUAAAUAUAUAUGCUUUUCUAUAAAAAUUAGAUAAUAACAUCACUCCAUUUUAGAAUACAAAAUCACGGAUCAAAUUUGUGAAAUUCUAGUAUUAAUGUAGACAACAACAAAAAAUCAGAGAUUAGGUUGAGAUAUUAUUUAAUUUGCUGGCAGGUAAUUUGUAGGAGGCAGAAAGAAAAAUCAAAAUAGAAACAGUGAGUAUUCCGCGAGAGUGAUCAGUGACGAUUUGGAUUAGAUCUCAAUUAAAACGCCUAUAUUACAUUUCACGUGUUGUGUAAAAAUAAUACUUUAAUCAUGUUUUUCGAAUUAGAUCGAUAGUUAAAUAAAUUAAAUUAUCGGUUCAUUUGAUAUGUUCGGAUUUUCGAUUCAUUAUCAAUUUUUAGAAAAGAAACGCCAAAUGGAAACAGUGAGUAUCGAGUGAUCAAUGAUGCGUUUUUCCAACUGCUUUUGCUUUUCCUGAGUGAUCAUCUUGCUGCUUUCACCUACUUUUCUACCAUAUUUCUCUUCUGCUUUACCCAAACUCUGUUGAAUCUCACCUUCUUUCAUGCAUUCUUCUGUUUUUGAUACCGACACUGCCUCGAGAUUAUUACGUAGAAAUUUUUUUUGGGAAAAACCACCGCUAGAGAAAUUGAAUAAUACAAAAAAAGUUUCGACUACAUGUAAGGGUUAAAAAAAUCUUAUUCUAAUUAAAAUCUAUUAGAAGAAAUAUAAUUUUACAUGGAUUUAAUUUAUAUGGUAUGGUUCAAAUUGCUGGGACUCAACCCUCGAUCCUUCACCUUCUCAAUUGUUGGGGAUUCAAAUCACACAAUCUUUAAUAUUUUUCUUUUUUAACAUUAAUAUUAGUAGUUUUUUUUUCUACUCUAAAUUAUUCAAGUAAUUAAUGAAAAAAAUGUAAUGCUUUUAAAAAUGGAUUGAUGAUUCAACUAGUUAAAUGGUAAGUUUAAUCAAUUCAACUUAUAUUUUUUUAAUUUAAAUUUAAUUAAAAUAUUAUAGAAUUAUAAAAUUCGAUUUAACUAAUUUUUAAAAUUAAUUUAAUCGGUCGACGUACGUCAUAAAUUAACUGGUUUUUUUUGUUUUUUUGGAUCAAUUUUUUAUUUUACCGAUUUAGUUUUGAAAAUACUUUGGUAAACAUUUUAGACAGAUGGAAUGGCAUCUGUUCUAAGGAGAAAGAAUUAAUGUACGAAACAAGGAUAUUAUCCAUUUCUAAUAGUUUUAUGCCACAUCAGUAUUCUUAUCUUAAAUUUGAGAAUUUUAAUUUGGAUUUUAUUUUUUUAGGAUGAAAAUGCUGAAAUUCAAGAUGAAAAUGCUAAUGUGACAUGAGACUAUUAAAAAAAGAAUACAAAUGACAUGGCGUUACUGUUUUAUACCAUCUUUUUCUAUUUUCUAAGUUGAGUGUUUUGAUUGAUGAGUGUUACGUACAAAUGAUGUUUGUAUUUGCGUUUGUACAAGUGUUACUUUUUUCUUUUUCUUUUUUUUUUUUGUUCAGUGUACAAGUGUUACUUGAACUAAGAAAUGUUUGCAUGAAUGAAAUUUGAAAAGUUUUGUUUUUUAUGGCCAGAAAAAAGACAAACAUGUUUUAUAGUUUAUCUUAAAAAACCAUCAAACAAUUGAAGAAAAGCAUACCACACGCCCAGCAUCAUCAGUAAAUAAAUAUAAAAAAAUAUUGGUAAAAAGAUGCAUAUUGAGUAAAUUAAUUAUUAAUUAUUAAAUAUUAAAUAUUAAAAUAAUAUAGUAUAAAUAUUUUUAAAAAAUUUUAAAAAUUAAUAGGACGAGUCUAAAAUGGACUUGGAUUAGUCUUUAGCAAAUAUAGAUGGGUUCGAGUAAAAUUUUAAGUUUAUAUUUCGAGUUGAACUAAACUUGAACAAAUAUGAAGUAUAAUAAUAUCAUACUUACACUCAACUUAAUCUAACCCAUGAACGCAUUUAACCGUGUGCUAUAUUUUUCUUGAAUUGUUUGAUGGUUUUUGUAAAAUAAAUUAUAAAAUAUGUUUGUUCUUUUUCUAUAUAUCUUCAGUUUUCAGUCGCGCAAACAUUUCAUAAUACAAGUAACACUUGUACAAACACAAACACAAUCAACACUUCCUAGUCUCACACAUACACGUAACACUCAUCAAUCAACCACCCAACUUAGAGCAGAUGGCAUUCCAUCAGUAUAAAAUGUUCAUCAAAGAGGAUACUUUUCGAUAUUUUCAAAAUUAAAUCAAUAAAAUUGAGAAUUAAUAAAAGUAUUAAUUUGACAAGAUAAAAAAUUUAUUUUAACCUAUAAUGUGGGAAUCAAUACAAAUUAAUAAAUCGUUUUUAAAAUUAAUUAAAUUAUGUUUUAUAGUUUUAUAAUAUUUUUAAUUAAAUUUGAAUUAAAUAAAUAAAUCGAAUUGAUUGAGUCUAUAAUUUGAUUAGUUCAAUUAUUGAUCUGUUUCGAAAAACAAUACAUUUUUGUCUUUAAUGACUUGAAUAAUUUAGAGUAAAUAACAAGGAAAUGGAAUAGAACAAAAUUGAAUAAAAAUUAUACCUCUCAAAACUUGUUCCAUCAUAUAUUUCAUAAUAUAAUAAUAUAUAAUCCGAUUUACAAUAUUUUUUAUAUUUAAAUAAGUUUUAAUACUUUAUCAAUUCGUAUAUUAUAGAAUUUCAAAGCAUUUAAGCAUUCAUAUUUAUUUAACAUAUAUUAUAUUUUUUUAAAUAAAGUUUGAUUGCAUUUCUUAAUUAAAUAAAAAUUUUAAAAUAAUAAUUGAAUCAUCGUUAAAGAUUGGAUGUAUUAGGAUUAAGUAGACCCCCAUAGAGGUCAACACAUAUCCUAUUAUAGGGUCGACACGUGUUUCCUGAACAGGAGUUCUCCUGCAUGGUGAUGUUAAGCCAUGCAGGCAAACUAUAUAUCAAUGAGCUAUACUUUGCUAGCCGGGUUGUGGGUUGGUAUGCGAACCGGCUCGAUUUGAUAAUUAAGUAGAGGUGAAUACCAUAACAAUUUGUCUCCUACUUGGUCGAAGAAGAAUUACAAAAUGACCCUUUUGAGGUCUGGUAUGUGCGUGACAUGGGGACUUUGAAUGAAGCUUGUUAGGUACACCUCUUGUAUAAAACUUGUCGAUUACGCUUUGCCGCUCAAUAGCUCGCUGAUAUAUAGUUCAUCUGCAUGGGUUUGUACCACCAUACAAGUGAAUUUAUAUUAAAAAAAUACGUGUUGAUCUUAUAAUAGGAUACGUAUUAACCUGUAUGGGGUCUACUUAAUAUUAAUAUGUCAAAUUAUGAAACUAUGACAUAUAAAUAAUAAAUUGGCUUUAAGAAUAGGACACACAGAAACACUAGUAUAAACGUUAGAAUCGUUCAAUAUCCCAUUGAAUAUUCAUGGUUCACCUACAUUUCAAUCAUUUGGGAGAUACCAAAUAAUGUACCAUUUACUUUUUUAUAAUUUGGAUCACACAAUAAUGAAAUUUAUUGAAAUAUUAAAUGAUAGAAGAAAAUCAUAUCCAUUAUAUUAGUCAAUGGAUGAUUGCAAGGGAGUCUCUCGUUGUGAAUUUGACAUGGCAAUUACAAUGACAGAUAGGCAUACACCGUGGAAAAAAAGUUUAGGUUAAAAUAUGUCAUAAGUUAUUAUACUUGUCAUGUAUUUGGAAUUUAGUCCAUAUUAGUUAAUGGAUGGUUGUAAGGGAAUAUUUCAAAUUUCAAAUUUCGAAAUUCAAGUCCAAUUGUUAAUAAUUUUGUUUCGCUAAUUUUCUUUGUGUGACAUUUCAAAAUAUCAAAAAUACUCAUUUAGAAGCAAUGUAUUUAAUUAAAAUAAUCUAAACAGAGUUAACUGUAGCGACGUAAAAAUUUUAGUUUCGCUUGGUCGCUAAUUGUGGCGAUUUAUUAAAAAAGUUUAAAAUUUGACAUUUGAUUUUUUUUGAAAUAAACAGGGAGUCGCCACCGAUCCUCUUUCCUAGGUGUGAUCGUACACCUAUUAGAUCUCUUAUCAAAACAAAUAAAAGGCUAAGUUUAGGUCUACGUUAAAAUCCAGAGAAAACUUAGGGUUCGGGAGUCGGUUACGAGCGAGGAAGGUAUUAGCACCCUCGCGACGCCCAAAAUUGGUAUCUUAUAAACAAGUGUUGUCUUAAUUUUCAAAAUUGCGAGUUCAAAGUAACAUUGAAUCGUGACCGAGUAAAACACGAGAAAUUUCAAGCUUCGUUUUCUUUUGAGAAGGAUAUACCGUUUUAACACGAGUCGAUUGAUAUCCACCCAACAUAGCGAUGAAAUCGAUGACAUAGUGUUUAAAUCGGUACGUUGCCUUGCUUAUUGAAAUAAAAACACGAAUAUGUUCGAAACAAUGUAAAGCAAAUUAAUAAAUAAAAAUAAAUAAAAGACAAAUCUAGAGGUACAUUGAAGCAAUAUAAAUGUGACGAUAAUAUUAUAAACAAUAAAGACAUAUAUGAUACUAGAAUUAAAUAUGAAAUGGAAAUAAUGAAUGUAGACACAUGAUAUUAAGAGUAUGUAUGUAAACUAUACAUAAUGUUUGAUAGUAAAAAUAUAACUAAUAAUGUUAAAAUAUAUACUUAAUAUAUACCUAUAUACAUAUGAAAAAUGUGUGCACAUGCCGUAUAUGAAAAAUAUAUACAUAGUAAUAUAAAAUAAUAAGUGAUAAUAGUGAAAAUAAUGGGUAUAAUAAUUAUAAUGAUAUACGAAAAUAAUACUAUAUAUAAAAUAUGUAUACAAGUAUAAUAAAAUAUAUGUCUUGAUGUUAAUAACAAACAUAGUAGGAAUAAAAUAAAUGUAAUAAUGAUAUAUACACAAUAUGGUAUUAAGAAUAUAUAUAUAUACAAUAUAGUAUUUAAAAAAAUAUAUACAUAAGAUGGUGUAAAAAUAUGUACAUGGAAAUGUAUAAGAAAUAUAUAUAUAAUUAGUAAUAUUAAAAAUAUAUAUAACAUAUAUAAAACAUAUACAAUACAUACAUACCUUAGAAAUGAUAAUAAUAACAAGAAAACUAUUUUGUACACUAUACACAUACUUAUACACAUAUAUAUAUAUAUAAAUAAUAGUAUUAGCAAUAUACAAUAUAAUAUUAGAAAUAUACGUAUAAUAGUAUAAGAACUAUAUAUAACUAGUAAUAUUAAAAUACAUAUAAUAAUAUAUAUAAAAUAUAAUAUUAAAAAUUUAUUUACAUAACAUAUAUGAAAAACAUAUAUAAUAUAAUAUUAAAACAUUUACAUGAUAUACACAUAUGGUUUCAAGGUUAAAUACAUAUUAAAAAAAAUAAUAAUAUUACAUAAAUAUAUACUUAUAUAUAUUAAAGCUAUGUACAUAUAUAGUAAAAUGCAUGGACAAUACAACAUUCAACAUAUACAUAAUAUAUAAUAAAAUGAUAAUAUACAUACUAUAUAAAUUACAUAUAUAACAAAACAUGUACUACGAUGAUAAUAAUAAUAAUAAGGAUAAUAAUAAUAUUGAUAUAUAAAGACAAAUAUAGCAUUAAAACAUUAAAAUAAAAUAAUUAAAAGACUAAAUACAAAUGCAUACAUACACAUGCAUAUAUAAAUAAUUAUACAUUAAGACAUGCAAUAAACACAUUUAAUUAUAUAAAUAUUAAAAUCAAUAAAUAACAUAAAAUGAAAGCGGGUAAAUUGAAAAUAAAACAAUAAAUUGACAAAGAGGACUGAAUUGAACAUAAAACACCAUUUUGGGGCAAAAUUUAAAAAUAAGUAAACAGGGAAGGACUUAUUAGAACACGCGAGGAACGUGAAAGGACCAAAAAAGCAAUAUUACCUUAUCCUCAAAACGCAACGUGGCAGUAAGGACUAAAUUGAAAAAACGUGUAAGAUUCCAGGGCCGAAUUAAAAUAACAAAAAACUCAAUUGCAAGAUGUUUUAAAAGCGGAGGGGUUAAACGCGCAAAUAACCCCUCUCUGAAAAAACACGCGGAUCCUGUUGGAGCGGGUCGGGUCGACCCGACCCGUGUUCAAAACGACGUUGUUUUAUUAUUAAACAGGGGGGACCAAAACGGUGCGUUUUGGUCCCUUAUAAAAGUUAAAAAAUUUUAAAAAAAUUCAUUUGAGACUUGGGGCGGAAAAAAAAAAGAGAGAAAAAAGGGAGAGGGAGGGCCCGGAGCGAUUUCCGGACAGAGGGGAGGGUGUCGGUCCGAUCGCCGGACCGUCGCCGGCGCCGGCCAACGCACGCGGUGGCCGGAAAGGUAAAUUUUUUUUUGUUUAUUAUAUGUUAUUUAUUUAUUUUAUUAGUUUAUUAGAUUUUUAUGUGUAUAGGAGAUAAAAUUAAUUUUAAAAUGAAAUAAAAAUGAAAAAGAAAUAACCUUUAGUUUUUAACUUCUGAUUCUUCGAUCUUUGCUAUUUUCUUGCUUAAUCUGAUGCUAUUCUUGUAUAUGGAUAUAGGCAGAAUCCAGGGUUCAAUAUUUCUUUUUCUGUUUCUUUUUCUAAAGGGGACCCCUUUACAGUUUUUUUAUUUGGGUUUUUAUAACCCUUUUUCGCCUAUUUUUUAUUGCUUCUGUCUUGUCUGAUUGCAGGGAAUGGGCAUGGACGGUGGAGUGUGUGAUGGCUCAGCAUGCGCGGGGUGGCCGACAAGGUGGAGCAGUGUCAGACGCUUGGGGGCGUGGUGGCCAAGGGCAGAGGGGCGUACGGCGCUAGUAGGGGGCAAGUGGGGGGUUUGGUUGAUUAGGGUUUCUGUUUGGGUUUGGGGUUGUAAGUGGGCUAGGUUUAGGUUAGUGGGUCCGAUGGGUUUGGAAUUUAAAAAUGGGCAAAUGGGUAAUUGGAUUUAGCUGAAUGUGAUUGGGCUUUGUGGAUUAGUUUAGGUUUGUAAUCGGCCCAAAAUUGGCCUGUAACAUUAACAAUUGAAGUUGAAUUUUGAAAUUUAAAAAAUAUAGAUUAAAUUCCUAGAAAUAAAAAUACAAAGACUAAAUUUCAAAUUUGAAAAGAGUAUAGAAACCUAUGAUAUAAUUUAACCAAAAGAUUACAAUGCGGAGAAAGAGGUCGAUUCUAGACGUAAUAUAGACAAAUAUGAUGUAAUACCCUACACCUAGCCUAAACAUGAUGUAACACCCUACACCUGGCCUAAACGUUAUGGCCGAAUCUUGAGGAAUUACAAUAACUUAUUAAAAAGUUGAAAUCAUAUUCUUGUAGUAAAACAAUGUUAUCUUUGAUAAAUUGUUUUUUUUUCCAGUUUUAGGGAAAAUUUUUGUUAAAACCAUUUAUUUUCAGAUUAAAUGAACACUUCAUUUUGCAGCGGAGUUUUCUAAGUUAUAAAGUUUUUAAAAUCGUGGUUUGAUUUGUAAACAAAUAGUUUUGCAUAUAGAAAUAUUGUUGGGGAUUUAGGCACACUUUAUCUAGACGAAGUAUGAACUUCAGCCUGAACUUAAACAACAAUGUAAUAUAUUUGGAUGAAGAAUGAAGAAAUAAGAGCUGAGUCUUGAGCAAUAAGGCUCGUAGCUUGUGGAAGAAACAAACAGAUUUUGCAAAGGAAAACAAGAACAGAAAUGAAAGCAAAAAAUGGAGCAUAAAUUGAAUGAAAUUCAAUAUUUUUCAUUAAGAAGAAACAUUGGCAUAUAGCCAUUAUAUAUAUCAGUCAUUGAUUGAUCAAAACAAGACAAACAUCACCUAAUGCUUACCUAAUACCACUAGUUACAUGGAACACAUAAACAAAGCUGAUUUGUCAGCUCAAUCACCACCUAAUUACAUCAAUCAUGAAUCUAACAUAGUUCUAAAUGAACUAGAAUUCAUUACACCAACUAAGGUAACAAAACAAAACAAAAUGGAACUAGAUGGUAGUAACUGCACUCGAUCUUACUGCUCCUCGAUGGCUUGGUGUGCAUAGCCAUCCUCUUGAUGCUGCAUGCUGACCAAUCUUCAACACUCCUCCUUGGUUAGCAUGUUGCAUACUCCCAUUUGCUUUCUUAGUUUGAUAAACCUUGACACUCUAAGGGCUUUUGUGAAGAUAUCAGCAACCUGUUCCUCUGAAUUGCAAUAAAUCAACUCCACCUCUCGAGCUUGUUCUAUCUCCCUUACCACAUGUAGCUUGAUGCUAAAAUGUUUGGUUCUACCAUGGAAGACAUGAUUCUUUGCAAUUGCAACAGCAAGCAUGUUAUCACAAUAGAUCUCUGUUGCUUCCCUUUGAUGUAGGUUUAGAUCAGCAAGGAUUUUCCUUAGCCAAAUGGCUUGGUUGACUGCUCCAGCAACAGUCACAUAUUUAGCUUCUGCUGUUGAUUGAGGCACCACAUUUUGCUUCUUCGAACUCCAGCAAAACAUUGCUGAACCAAGUGUAAAUGCAUAACCUGAAGUGCUUUUCAUGUCAUCCUUUGUACCAGCCCAGUCACUGUCAGUGUAGCCUAACAGCUUCAGAUCUUCACUUCUGCUAAAUUGUAAUCCAUAGCUCAAGGUGCCUUUGAUAUACCUGAGCACUCUUUUUACUGCUCGAAAAUGCUCUUCAUUACAACAGUGCAUGAACCUUGAGAGCAAACUUACAGCAAACAUGAUAUCUGGUCUGGUUGCUGUCAAAUACAAUAAGCAGCCAACUAAACUCCUAUAGGCAGGCUCACUGACCUGUUCAUGAUCUCCUUGACUCGAUAGAUUCAUUCCAACAGCCAUAGGUGUGCUUGUUGGCUUGCAAUUCUCCAUAGAGAAUUUGCUUAGAAUUUUUGCAGCAAAUGUCUUCUGUCCCAAUAAGAUUCCACUGUAAGUUUGUUACACCUCCAUUCCAAGAAAGUAAGUCAUUUGCCCUAAAUCUGACAUUUCAAACAUGUCUUUCAUUUUGGCCUUGAAAUCAGCCAGUAUGUUCUGGUCUUCUCCUGUCACUAAGAGGUCAUCAACAUAAAGGGACACAAUGAGCUGUGUUUCAACUUGUUCUUUUUUGACAUAGAGUGUUGGCUCACUCAUGCUUCUUUGAAAUCCCAAGCUGAGCAGGUAGCCAUCGAUUCUGCUAUACCAGGCCUUUGGUGCCUGUUUUAAGCCAUACAAGGUUUUCUUGAGCCUGUAGACCAUGUCUUCCUUAUCUAUCACUAUGAAGCCUUGAGGUUACUCAACAUAGAUCUCUUCUUCAAGAAAGCCAUUAAAAAAAGUAGACUUCACAUCAAGCUGGUGGAUUUUCCACUCCAUCUGAGCUGCUAAGGCAACUAAUAGCCUAAAUAUGGUGUCUAACCUGGCUACUGGUGCAAAGGUUUCCAAAUAGUCCAGGCCAUACUUUUGGCUAAAACCCUUUACAACUAGCCUGGCCUUCAACUUGUUCAAGCUGCCAUCUGUAUUGUGUUUGGCUCGAUAGACCCAUUUCACUCCAAUGACCUUCCUGUUGGUUGGUCUUUCAACUAAUUCCCACGUUUGGUUCUUUUCAAUCAUGAUCAUCUCAUCAACCAUUGCUUGUUUCCAACCUUAAUGUGCUUCAGCAUCUUCAAAGCAGCUUGGUUCUUCUUGUGCAACAUGAGCCCUCUCAUAAAUCUCAGCCAAGGUCCUUGUAACCCUGACUGGUUCAUCAUCAAUAUCCAUAUCAGGAACAUUUUGAUCAGAUUCAAGCUGAUCUGCCAUGAGUUCUUCAGAAAUAUCCUCAGGUUCAUUUGUUUCCCAGUUCCAACAUACCUUUUCAUCAAAGAUCACAUCUCUACUUACAUGGACUUUGUUUGUUGAAGGAUCUAGGAUCCUAUAGCCUUUCUUGACCAUGCUGUAUCCCACUAAAAUGCCAGCUUGAGAAUUUUUGGACAGUUUGUCCCUUUUUACACCUGGUAUAAGGGUGUAGCAUAGGCAACCAAACACUUUUAGAUGAGCCAAAGAUGGCUUGAACCCGAACCAGGCCUCAAAUGGAGUUUUGUAAAUCAAGGCUUUAGUUGGAAGCCUGUUUUGAAGGUACACAGCAGUGUUGACUACUUCAGCCCACAUAGUCUUGGGCAAAUUCUUUUGAAAUAGGAGACAUCUAGCCAUAUCCAUCAGACUUCUAUUUUUCCUUUCACUCAUCCCAUUCUGCUGAGGUGUAUAAACAUUGGUGAACUAAUGUUUGACACUAGCAUCAUUGCAAAGAGCUUGGAACUGAGCUGAGGUACACUCUGCUCCAUUAUCUGACCUGAUGGUCUUCAAUUUGCAGCCUGUUUCUGUUUCAGCUGUAGCUUUAAACUUCAAGAAUACUUGAGCUACCUCAGACUUGUGCUUCAAAAAGAAAAUCCAACAAUAUAUGGUACUAUCAUUAAUGAAAAGAAUGAAAUACCUAUUGCCAUUGAGUGAUUCAAUUUUCAUGGGGCCACAUACAUCAGUGUGCACUAGUUCCAACUUGUUUGAUGCUCUCCAAGUUGUGUUUGCAAGAAAUGGGAGUCUGGCUUGCUUUCCCAUCUGACAGACUUCACAAACAUCUUCAUUUUGAACUGACUUGGUAAAGUUUUCAACCAUCUCCUUACUGACUGUAAUAGCCUAAAUUUGACCGGGCUUUAAAACCAAAAAAAUAAAUAAAAAUUUAUUUAAUAGUCCAUUAAAAGUCCAGGUUACAAAGCCCAAACAGUGAGGCCCAAUGUCUAAACAUAACAGACCGAUCCAAACCCCACAUCGGGCCCAAAUUCUAAAACACGUCACAACCAAUACCCGUGUAACCCAAAUACACCCGAAGCCCAACACAUACACCAACCCAAAUUCAAUCGUGGCCCAAAUCUUAGCAGGCCCAAUAAGCCCCAAACACAUGGACUCCAAAUCAGAAGCUAGGGUUUCCAGCAAACCCUAGCGCCGCAAGCACCCAUCGUCAAGCCCUUGCGUCGCAACCCAACAUCCAGUCAAUGCCCGAUCGGUGCCGUAAUCCUCGGAAGUACCUGUAAAAAAGGAAAGAAGAACGACAGAGCAUGGCAGAAAUAGCAAGAAAUUGAAAGAAAAUACUUACCUAAUCUGUAACUCUAAAAACAAUGGCUAUAAAAAACUCCUUUGAAACCUUUGUAACGAUACGCAUACAGGAACUGAAAAAAAGAGCAAAUACAAACAGUUUUUUUCGAAAAGGUGAAUCUUCUAUUUUAUUUUUUAUUUUUCAUGUUCAAAGCAUAUACAUACACAAACAGUUUGAUAAAUAGCUCUAAAACGCGAAAAAGGGUUUUACCUUUCAUUUUUGUGACAAAAAUCGAGGUCUCUAACCUCCAAGGGUCACACACGACGGCGUUUAGGACGACGGGUGGGCGCGUAAGGCGCGUGAACCACCUGAUGAUGGAGGUUUGGCCAGAGUUCCGAGGGCCCCUUUUCAUUCCUCUUUCAGAGGAUUUUUUUUAAUUUUUUUUUAAACACGAAUAGAAAUGAAAUUUUAAAGUUUUUUUUUGUAUUUAUAAGCUUCCCGAACGACAUCGUUUUGGGGUGAUCGUUUAGUGACCAAAACGACGUCGUUUCAAGGCCUCAAGAUCCGCGUGUUGACCCGAACCGGGGGAAGAUCCGCGCGUUUCUGAUAUUCGGGGAAAUAUCCCAAUUGGUCCUUCCGUUUCUUUCACUUUUGUAAUUAAAUCCAAUUUAUUUUUUUAAUUUGGCCCAGAAAUUUGUCUUUCAAUCCAAUCUAAUCUUUGGGGCCACUUUAGAAUGAAUAUGGAACGACGUCGUUCCUUGGGAAUAGGGCAUUUUGCUCGAUGAGUCCUUCACCCUUGGCGCACAUUUCAUUUAAAUCCUAGAUUCAGUUUUAUUUUUCUAAUUUCGUCCCUGUAAUUUUAUAAAAUUUUAAAUUUAAUCCUAUGUGUUUUUUUUGAUAUUAUAUAUUACUUGUCUUCUUCUAAACCUAUAUAUGUUUUAUUAUAUAAUUAUACAAUUAUUUUCACCUAUUAUUCAUUAUGUAUUAAUCCUUAUAUAUAUACAUUAGUUUUAUUAUUAUUAUAUAAUUUAGUAAAUGUUAGUUUGAAAUCAUUAUUAAGUAAUAUGUUUUUAAAUUUGUAUUAUUUAUUAUAUUAUUACUAUAUUGUAUAUAUAUUUAUCUUAAAUUCCUUUUUUACAUUAAAUUAUUUUAAUAAUAUUGUUUCAUUCAUUAUUUUUCAUAUAUAUUAUUUAGUGUAUUCUAAAUCAUUUUAUAAAUGUAAAAAUUGUUUUACUUUUCUAUAUUAUUACUUUUCAUAUAUUAUUUCAUGUAUUAGACAUUUCAUAUAUUUUCAUUAUUUUAUAUUAUUAUUUAUAUAUAUUAUUAUCCUUAACUAUUAUAUUAUAUUAAUCAAUUACUUAUAUACUAUAUAUUAUGAUUUUAAAUCCAUAUACUUUUAUAUUAUAUAUUAUAUAAUUAUUUUAUUUAAUACGUAUAUUAUUUUUUUAUAUAUUUUUAAAUAUUAUGUUUGUAUUAUUAACUUUUUUUAAAAAAAUAUGUAUUAAUCCUUUUAUUCUUUUUAAAUACCAAAGGUUGAUUUUAAAUCAUUAUUAAGUGAUGUUUAUGUUGAUAUAUACAUAUUGCCAUUAUUACCUUUUUUUAUGAUAUUUUUUGUAUGAAUAUUAAAUUGUAUAUCAUGCAUCAUUUUUACUAUCAAUAGGUUUAAAUAUAUGAUGAAUUACAGGUUUAUGUGUUUUUACUUAUUCUUCUUAAAUAUAUAUCGUGUUUUAUGUAUAUUUUACUUAUUUAAAAUUUGCCAUGUUUCUUAUAUGUAUGAUAUUUAUGUUAUUGUGUUUUUAUUUACCUAUUAUUAUAACAUUUUAUCUCGUAUGUUAUGUUAAUAUGCUCCUGCAUGCAUUGAUUUUAAAAAACGAGACUCUAAAGUUUUCAAAAAAAUAAAGGCAAUGCUUGGUGUUUGAAAAUUUCGGGAAAAGUAGUGCCCUAACUUACUGGGUUGCAAUUUUUCUCGUUGAGUUUGAAUAGUCAAGCACCCUUCUAAGUUUUUAAGGUUUUCAAAAUACGAGCAACUGUUUUGGAAUUUCAAAGCGUUGCGUCCUAACUUACUGGAUGUGGCGUUUUGUCAUUUCGAGAUAGAGAUUUUCAAAAAAGCUAGUUUAGUUUCGAAUGUCUUAAAAAUAUUGUGUCCUAACUUAAUGGAUGAGAUAUUUUGAUUCGUUUGAUACAAGUGAACCCCAAUUUUCAAAAUCAAAAUAUUCUAAAGAGGAUUGCAUCUUAAAAUUUUUAAAUUUCCGAUUUUAAAGACAUUUGAUAAUUAAUUAGGUACCAAUUUUUGGGCGUUUCGAGGGUGCUAAUCCUUCCUCGUACGUAACCGACUCUCGAACCCGUUCUUUUUACUUCGUAGACCAAAACUAAUAAUUUAUCGGUGAUCAAAUCACACCUAAAAAGAUUGGUGGCGACUCUCGUUUUCGUUUUUUAAGUCGAUUCCCAUUUUCCAAAACCCGAUUUUAAAAAUGGUUUCGACACUGACCAUUUGAGCCAUCGAUCUAAAGUUGGCAUGACCAAGUCUUUGAUGCCAAAGCUUGGAAUCUUCUGUUGAGGCAACACAGGCUAAGUGUAAGUCACCUGACCAGUUGACUUCAAAACAUUUAUCAGUCAUACUGACUGUCAUGAGGCUUGUUCCAUUUGAAUCAGCAUUUUGGCACUCCUGGCCCUUAAACACAACUGAGUAGCCCUUUUCAAGCAGUUGAGCAAUGCUGAAAAGGUUCCUGUCAAUCUCAGGUGCCAGCAGCACAUUUUUUAUGAUUUUAUCACUUGUGGAAGUGCAUAUUAGCACAUCCCCUUUUUUUUCAGCCUUAAUAAACUGACCAUUCCCAACUUUUACUUUGGUUUUGCAACUUCUGUCCAAAGUCUUAAAAAUAGUUGCAUCUAGUGACAUGUGAUUAGUGCAACCACUGUCCAACAGCCAUCCGUUUGGGCCCUUGCUCUGACCAGGUAAGCAUGAUACAGCAAAGACCUGUUCUUUAUGGUCACUGCUGUCUUCAGCCAUUCGAGCUUCAACAUCCUUAUGUUGUGCUUGGUUUUGCCAAGGUCUGCCUUUUUCUUUACAGACCCUUUCAACAUGGCCCUUUUUUCUUGCAAUGUUGACACAAGGCAUCUGGUCUGAACCAACAUUUGGCCUCUAUAUGACCAGGCCUUUUACAAAAUCUGCAAAGUUGAUCUCCUCUUCUUGCAGCAUCAGGCUUAGGCCUACUUCUCCAGUUCUUCUUGCCUUUAUAGGCUGAGGUGCUCGAGGCUGCUUUGGCCUUGGCUUGGAAAGCACCCUCCUGGUGCUCUUCUAUCCUGCUGGCUCUCCUUUGUUCCUGAGCAUAGAGGGAAUUAAUGAGCUCAGUUAGGGAGAUGCUUGAAAGAUCUCUCGAAUCCUCCAGGGAUGAGAUUUUUGCCUCAUAUCUUUCAGGCAAUGUUGAGAGCACCUUCUCCACAAUCCUUGCCUCACUAAACUGUUCUCCUAGCAACCUUAUGUUGUUCACAACAGCUAUGAUUCUAUCUGAGUAAUGCUUCAUUGUCUCUUCCUCCUUCAUCUUCAAAUUUUCAAAAUCUCUUCUUAAGUUCAACAAUUAUUCCUGCCUUGUCCCCUAUGUGCCUUGAAACUCCUCUUUAAGCUUGUCCCAGGCCUACUUUGGAGUCUCACAGGCCAUGAUUCUGGUAAAAUAAACAUCAGACACACAGUUCUGAAUACAAAACAUGACCUUAUGCCUUUUGGUCCACUCAUCUGCGUGUUGCCUGAUUUGAGCCACUGUGGGAUUGGCUCUGAGUGGAGCUGGCUCUGCAUCAGAGUUCACAACUUCCCACAGAUCGAAGGCCUGUAGGUAAGUCCUCAUCUUGACAACCCAUAUGUAGAACCCUUCACCAUUAAAGACUGGUGGUGCUGCAAGAGAAAAGCUUGAUGAAGCCAUUCAGUUUAAGAUUCAACUACAACAGGUCCUCUAAGAUGAAAGCUCUAGAUACCAAUUGUUGGGGAUUUAGGCACACUUUAUCCAGAUGAAGUAUGAACUUCAGUCUGAACUUAAACAACAAUGUAAUAUAUCCGGAUGAAGAAUGAAGAAAUAAGAGCUGAGUCUUGAGCAACAAGGCUCGUAGCUUGUGGAAGAAACAAACAGAUUUUGCAAAGGAAAACAAUAACAGAAAUGAAAGCAAAAAAUGGAGCAUAAAUUGAAUGAAAUUCAAUAUUUUUCAUUAAGAAGAAACAUUGGCAUAUAGCCAUUAUAUAUAUCAGUCAUUGAUUGAUCAAAACAAGACAAACAUCACCUAAUGCUUACCUAAUACCACUAGUUACAUGGAACACAUAAACAAAGCUGAUUUGUCAGCUCAAUCACCACCUAAUUACAUCAAUCAUGAAUCUAACAUAGUUCUAAAUGAACUAGAAUUCAUUACACCAACUAAGGUAACAAAAUGGAACUAGAUGGCAGUAGCUGCACUCGGUCUUACUGCUCCUCGAUGGCUUGGUGUGCAUAGCCAUCCUCUUGAUGCUGCAUGCUGACCAAUCUUCAACAAAUAUAAUAAUAGUUAACCCGGAAAAGCAAGUCAAAGACGAGAAGUAAAAUCGAAAACGAUUUACAGUACAAAAGUCUGAAAAGUCGAAUAUUAACAGUCUUUAAUUUUAACCAAUUUCAUAUUAUAACACAAUGAGUAGAUUUGUAAACAAAUAGAUUUUUCUAAUAAUACUGUUUUAAAUUUGAUUGCUUCACUUUUUGAUUCGCCGGAUAGUGUCAUACGGAAUAAGGUGUUAAUGACGAUGUGGAGUAUUUGGUUCUUUCGAAACAGGUUUUGUUAGAAGAAUGAGUCUAUAUCGGCUGCUGUUGUUUUAUCUUUCGACAUAUCCAAUCUGCAGGAUUGGUUGAGUGCAGAAUCGGUGUUUGAUAUAGCUCAAUGUGUUGCUGGUCACCUGCCUAAUGUUACUGGCCGUCGCCUGAGCAGUGGUGGCCGACGGUAGAUGAAGCCGCCUGAGAAUCGACUGAAACGCAACGUUGAUGCAGCAAGUUUUGGGGCGGAUCAGUCGACUAGCUUUGUAGCAGUGGUGAGGGACUCUAACGACGUUUUUGUUAAGGGUAAUACGGGUCAUUACUGAGCCAGCUUGGAGCCAAAGUUUGCUGAAGAUUUUGCGGUCUGUGAAGCUCUUUCUUGAUUGAAGGCUCGGUAUCAUGAUUGUGAGCGACAACCUCCAAGCGAUUUCAGCUCUGAAGCGGGUUGAUGACGAUGCCUCUGGUUUCAGUAUGUUUAUUUCAGCUCUUGCAUCUCAGUUUCAUAAUUUUUCUUUUUGUUGGACGAGACAGGAAGCAAGGCAGCUCAUAUAUUUAUGAGAGUAGUCUUAUCUUAUGCGACCCACUCUGAAUGGAAAAGUCAUCCUUCCAAUCAUUCCUUUAUUUUAAACCAUGAUUUUAUGUUUAAUUUAGACCAUGAAAGUAGAAGAUGUUUGGACCGAGAGUACAAGGUAAGCCAGUUGGCUUAGAACUUAGUUUUUAUCCUCUCUUUUAUCAAUUGCUGUUAUUAAUUUGGCAUCAUGAAAUUAUUUCUCCGUAAAAAAAGAUUAUUAUUUUUUAUAUUACAUAUAUAAUAACAUUGAAACACAAAUCUAAGCCCAACUAGAAUCAAUAAGCUUUGGCAUAAUAAAGCUACCAAAUUAUAUUUAUUCACUUAUUCUCAUAAUGAAAGUACAUGACAUAGUUAAUAAUGAGAUCACAGACAACUAGUGCUUCUUACAUGAAGGGAACACCAAUUUAUUUAGUUUAAUUUAAUUAAGUAUGCAACAUACACAAAUCUUCAAGCUUCCAUGGAGUUGUGGGGUUUUUCUCAAUUCAAGUGGUGAGAGGUUCUUCUUUGGUAUCAUAUUGGAUGUUGUAGUAAUUAGCACCAGUGAAAGUGUUACCAGUGACAUCAGUUGUGACAACGGUCCCAUUAUAAAGAGUGUCUUUUUGAGUGAAUACGAAGGGAACAUCACACGUGCCAUGCGUCAUCGAUAGAUACACCGUCACCUUAGUCAUCGGUGGCACAUGAGCUUGGUGGUUAACUUCCAUCACGGUGGUCGUUGUCUUUGUCUCUCCCCACUCGAUUCCUGCUUCGAGUUUGGCAGAUAUUUCGACACCCGCUUUACCGAUUAAUGGAACCCCUACUUCGAAGGUUGCUUUGGUUUCAAGGCCUAACGUAAAAUGAGCUAGCCAAGUACUGGUACUGGUCUCUGUAUAAGAAAGUUUCACAUCGAGUGUGUUGGCUUGAGUGGUACGGUUAGUGGCAGAAUUCUCGGCCAGAACAAGGACUUUCUUGUUAUAGACUCGAG